rnacentral:lncRNA from 1 species
GGUAAUGGAUCAGCAGUCCAAAAUAACCAUUGGAGAAUCAACAAGAACCAUAAAAAUAUUAUGGCUCCCCUAAACAUUUAGUUUUACACACAUAAGUGAGACCACAUAUUAUGAAUACAAAUACCAAAAUUGAUUGCUACCUCCAUAAAUGGUGGACAUACAAUAGACAAACUCAGCAGACAAACUUGGGUGCUGCAGUUAGAUACACUUUGUUAGAUCAUAGAGCAGAUUUAAGAGUUUUUAACAACUUUAAGUAUCUAAAAGAGGAGCAACAAAAAUCACCUGAAAUACAUAAUUUUGAAGAGAAAAAAAAAAGGAUAAAAUGACAUCCAAAACUAAAGAGGGCACAGAAUAACACUUAAGCCUUGGUCUCCUCAGCAGCGGUUUCAAAAGUCUCCCCGGGGACAAGAUCUGGUACAGCAUCAUCAUCAUCCUCUUGUGCUGCAGUUGCAUCAGCUCCUGCUUCAGGAGCCUGCUUCUGAAAUUGCUCAGCUAACUUCUUCAGAUUUUCCAAGUUAUCUGGCCCUACAUUUUUCCAACAAAAAAAAAAUAUAUAAGAUUAUAAUACAACUUAGAUAAGAUAUCAAUCACAUACCUAAUUGGUGAAUGAUGUUGGGGAGAAUAUCCUGCAACUCUACAAAAGGGAAAAUUUAUACAAGUGAAAAUGUCAGUCCAGCAUGAAAUCAGAUCAAAAUCAAAAGGAUCACUAAUGUCAAGUCUCACUCGAAAUGAGGAAAACAAUGCAUGGUAUGGUACACUACAAAUUGUACAAAAUUUUGAACAUUUCAAUAUGAUACACAUCAAACAAUGGUGCUUACGAAGUCUAAAAUUUCUGAACAUUGAUGCAAACAAUGGUGCUUACGAAAUCUACAAUUUCUAAACAUUAAUGGAAAGAAAACUGUGGAUAACUCAUUCACAGAUAAUGUUCAAAGAUGUUGACAGUGUUCUAUGUUAGGUGUUGCAGUUUUGUGCGCCACACUAGAGUAAAUAAACAGCAGAAGCCAUGUUUGAUAAUGAAUCAUUAAGCAUAUGAAGAAAAAGAUAUAUAUGCUUACUCUUUGUCUGAGGAGAACCGCUAACAACCCAAGUGUUGGCAGCAAUAGCUGCUUGUACUGUAAACAAUUAAAGUUUAACAGUUAGCUUAAUUAGAUCUUAAAAUAAAAUAUAUACAAUAGUAUUGUGAAUUAAUAUUACCUUUGGGGUAUAGAAACUGAAUAACUACAUCAUCCUUAAAGAUGUUGACUUCCUCAAUGGCAGGGAUACUAUUCACUCCAAUUCUCUUCAGAGUGCUUUAAAGUCUUUUGUCGUCUGUAGUAGCUGUCUUGUGGACAGCCUUCUUCUUUCUAAAAUGGGCAGAAAACAAAACAUUAAUAAAAAUAAACAACUUAGCAUACAAUCUUUCUACCAGGGUAUCAAACCGAAAUAAUACAGGCGCCAUAAAAUACAUGGAUAGCCAAGAUGGUAAGAUUUCAGUUGAUUUCAUAUCAGACACAAAAGUAAAGACUUGUAGUCAAUUUAUGAUUGCUAGUAGCACAUAAAUAGACAGUUAAAAGUACAUUCAACUUGAAAUCCAACACCAUGUUGUCCAAAUGCUGUCCAGUUUUACAAGACACCAUAGAGCUGUCAUGGGGAAUUUUAUUCGGAACCAAAAACACACUGAUGAUUCAUUCCUUUUAAGCUUACCCAGUUCAAGUUUCAAACAAAAGAGGUCAAAUUCAAAAUUUGAGAGAUUAUAACCAUGUUGACUCCACCAAGGAUGACUUACUUCUAUCACAUCGUUUGAGCUUAGGUUACGAGAAUACACAUUAAGGAAGGAUUUCCCAUAUUCAUUAUAAACACACAUGGCAUUUGCAAACACUUUUGGUCUCACUUUUUCUUCAUUUUCUUCAGAUGAUCGAAAUCCUCUACAACCGUACGUUGGAGACCAACAAGAUUUCCAAUUGUAAAAGGCAAUUGGUAUAGGUCAGUCUGAUCUAAAUAAACAUCUUUUAUAUUCUUCAUCACUCCUUGUACUUCUGGGAAGCUCUCAGGACGCGAACAACCUCUAAGAUCUAAAGUCUCCAGAGAUGGCAAGUUAAUGUAGGGAACCAAACUCUCUAGUCGGGUGCAUCCUUGAACACUUAAUAACACAAGCCUGUCAAGAAACCCAACCGAGUCAUGGAUUCUAAUUAAAUUAGUGCAGUAAUCAAGACACAAUGCCCCCAAAUUUGGUACUCUAGAUAAGCUAGGUACUUUAGUUAGGAACUUGCAUCCUUCAAAAUCCAGAAAGUUCAACAUCUGAAACACCUAUAAGAAGUAGAUGCCUCAAAUUGUUAGGAUACAACUGCAAAUAUAUAUUAGUUUGAGGCUUUUAAAAGAAUACAUACCUUGAGUGAUUGGAACCAUUUAAGGUGACUCUUAGACAGGUUAAGUAUUGCAAGAUUCUUGGGAUUAAACUCGUAUGGUAAGAAGGAGGAUGGAUAUCCGCUCCAAUCAAGCACACUCAAACUAUUUGGAAGAAUUUGAGGACCAUUGGAAAAUUGUGCAUUUCGAAUUAUAAGAAUUUUUAAGUUCUUCAUCUGCCCAAAGGCUUUUUCACACCAUUUCACUUUUCUGUCUUUGCGCAAGUCGGCGAUUAUGACUUUCAAUUGUAUCAGUUCCCUUUCAAUUCAAAAUCACAAUUCAAACACAAAUUAAAGGCUGAGAAUUUGUCAUUUACAUAUUUUGUUGUAUAAACGAAUUUCUUAAUCAUAAUGUCCUUAUCUCCUAGUAGUAAUAAAUUUCAUCAAACAUUUAUAGUUUAGCAUGGAAAAUUAACAAUCCUGUAAACUAACUAAUACAUAUUAAUCAAAAUGUUGAAAUAUAAGAAAGCAAACGAGGGGAUACUCUUGCAAUCAUACCUUGUUUUCUUCCAAAACAUGAACAAUGUCUUCACUAAGCCAUAAUCUACUGCACCUUCCAGGCUCCAAUGUCGAUUCCUGCCUCACAAUUUCUCUGCCCAUUUCUUGAAUCAACUCAUGCAUUCUCACACAACCAUUGGUAUCAAUUUUCAUGAGAGAUUUGUCAGUUAGCACUUGUAUGCCAUCUUCCGCAUGAAAACCAUGUAAGUAUAGUAUUUCUUUGACGUAGCUUAUUUCAUAAGAAUUAAAGAAACAAGCGAUGUCUAGAAAAAUUCCCUUCUCAUCUUCUUCCAAAUCAUCAUAGCUAACUUUCAGAAUUUUAUGGAUGUCUUUACGAAGAACUCUUUCGUAUUUAUCUAAUGAGGACUUCCAUACAGCUAAACUUUUUCCAAACAAUUGAGAACCUAUCACCUCCAAAGCCAAGGGAAGACCGUUACAAUAGGAUACUGCACGUUUCAGGUAUGCAGCUAUCCGAACUGAACCAAAGUUAUAAUUCGGUUAACCGUUUUCUUACCUAUGAACCGAACCGAACCAAAACUAAUAUUUUGAACCGAAAUGUAUUUUUUUUCCUUUUGGGAAUUUAAUUGUGUUUUUUUUUUAUCCAAAAUGCAAAAUAUUUUUUUAUUUACUUUUUUUCUAAGAAUAUAAUUUUUUUUAUUAAUAUUAUUAUUACACAACAAAAUAAAAUAAUAAGUUUAAUGCAAAAUAUAUUAAGAAAGAAAAAUUACAGUAUGAAAAUUAUUAUCGAUUAAUUUUUGAAAUUAUUAUCGAUUAAUUUUUGAAAGAUAUGAAGUAAUAAUAAUAUAGAUUGAAUUAAAGUAAUAUAUAAGAUUAAACACGGUAAAAAAAUAUGUAUUAAUAUUUACUUUCGCGGUUCGGUUUAGUUUGUUUCGGAUUUGAAAAAAAUGAUCUGAUCUGAUCCAAGUCAAAAAAAUCAACAUAAGAGCACAUAAAUCACAAGAGCACAUCUUUUGGUAAAUUUCAAAAAAUGCAAUAGAAGUAUAUCUUUUGUAGAGUUGACAUCAACAUAAGAUACAGUUGACAUCAACAUAAGAGCACAUAAAUCAUAAGAGCUUAAUCCUUAAGUAACAAUAAAAUCAACUUCAGUUUGAAGCAUAAAGAUGCCCAAUAAUUCCUUAGUUACUCUCAAUACAUCAUACUUGGAUAAGUUAAUAGAGUCAACAUCCUUCCAAAGAAAACUAUUACAAUGGCAAAACAAAAUAAAGCUAAAUGUUUAUAAUAGCAGAUAUCUUCUCUCAACAAGUAGCUAAUAACUUCAACUUUGAAGUCCAAAUUGAUCUCUGACUUUAUGAAUUAUGUUUGAUCAUUCAUAUGGUAUUGACCCUGCAUAACAAAAAGACAUGAAUUGAAGUGAAUUGAAUUAGAAAGGGAUUCAAAGACAUUUGACAAUAACUAAUACUAUAUAUUAACCAAACAUAUUUAUCUCAAGUGUUACCAUUAUGAUUCAAGUGGAUGGUUUUCAAUUUAUAUCAUCUAAGUGGACUGAUUCUUGAGAUGUAAUCUCUACAAAAAAAAAAAAAAAAAAAAAAAAAAAAAAAAAAGAAUAUAUAUUAAGCAAUGUUGAAAAUAAGAAUCAAAAUGCACAAGAGUAAUAAUAUAGAUAUCAGUAAAUUUACCUUUCUCCAAUCUAUGGAUCUCAUCAAGGUCCUCUUCAGAAAACAAGUGGAUGGCCUUUCCUUUUAACCAGUCUUGCGUGCAAACAAGCGCUUCCAUUAUUUUGGGUGUUAGACAAGUUCAAUAAUCACUAACAACUCUUCCACCAGUGUUGAAUGCCGACUCUGAAGCUACUGUAGAUGCAGGAAUAGCUAACACCUCCUGAGCUAUGCUUGCCAAAAUAGGAUAUCUAGUUAAGUUGGGUUCCCACCAACCUAAGAUGUCAAAAUCAAUUUCUUUCUUGUAAGGCACUCAAGCUUCUUUUAGAUAUUCUUCAAUUUCAUCUUUAGAAUCAGAAACAUGCCCGGUUUCUUGAUUGUAGUGGCACCAAAUAUCAUCGUCAUCCUUCUCAUGCCUGGUUUCUAGUAGACUAGAUUGAGAGUAAUCUGUACCACCAUAUUGAACAUAAAUUUUUCUAAAAUCUGACAUCAAUUUGUCCUUCAGGUGUUUAGCUUUUCCGGUGCUUGCAUAUAGAAGGUCAAUAUAAAAUUCAGCAAAAUGUAGUUUCGCCCGUGGAUCAAGAACAAAAGAAAUCAAUAGCAAGAUAUUUAAGGUGUCUGGAUCUCCCCAAUACUUGUUGAACUUAAUUUUCAUCUUGUUCGCUGUCUCCAUGGUGUACUUAUUUGUACUACUCAUAUGCUUGUUGAUCCCUUUCCUAAUGGCGAACACCUCUGCCAUAUACGAAGCACUUGUCACAUAAUACAAAGAACCAGACAAACAAAUUGUGGAUUUAUAAAACAACUCAAGCAAGGGAAGCACAUAUUCAACAUAGUCCUAAUCUCCAUCUGUUAUUCCAUGUGUUGUUUUUUCUUCCAUUUCUCGACGAAAUGUGACCUCUCGUACGCUUAACUUGUGAAAGGCCUUUCUAUACUUCAAGGCAACCGUCAACAUUGAAUACAUCGAGUUCCAACGAGGGUCAACAUCAAGUACAACAACACCUUUGUAUGGAAUUUUCUCAUCAGAAGCACAUCUCAUAAACUUUUCCAAUCUAGAUGGCGAGGAUUUAACCCAUUUAACAGCAUGACGAAUCUUUGAAAUAGACCCUUGUUUAUCCUCCUUCAAGCCAGAUUUCACAAUAAGGUUUACUACAUGUGUGCAACACCGCAUGUGAACAUAAUCCCCAUUUAGGACGUGAUUGUCCCAAUAACUCAUCAUAUUAUGCAGAUAUCGAAUCAUAACAUCAUUUGCCUUGGCAUUAUCCACCGUUACCGUUAAUAUCUUACCAUACAAGCCCCAAUCCCUCAAAUAAGUGUCAACAUAUUUACCCAACAUGUCUCCCAUGUGACCUAUGAUUUGGCAAAAGUUGAUGAUUUUCUUGUGCAGCUUCAAUUCACGAUCAACAAAAUGAACGGUCAAACUCAUGUAAUUUAAGUUUUGAUUUGAUGUCCAUGUAUCAGUUGUCAAACAAACUCUACCACAAUUCUUCAAGAAUUUUUUCAAUUUUCCCAACUCCUCGUUGUAGAGCGCCCAGAUGUCACGCCUCAAUGUAUAUCGUGAGGGGAUGUCGAAUCGAGGCUGCAAGAUAAUCAACAACUUUCUAAAUUCUUCAUUUUCCACAAAUCGGAAUGGGAGCUCGGCACACACAAAAGUUCUCACUAAUUACGCUCGGCAUGCCUUUUGAUCAAAUUUGGAAAAGCUUGGAGAAGAAACAACUUGACCUUUUUUAACAAUUUUUCUCCUUUUCCUUGAUUGGGUCCCUUGAGUGUCACCAGAGUUAUACUUAGCGCAUCUUCCUAGAUGAUUCCACAUACCACUUGUCCCGCUAAUCACAAUGAGCUGAGGGCAAUAAUUGCAUUUAGCCUUUUUCUUUCCAUUUACCAGUAGACUGUUCAAGUUGGAGGUGUCAAAUGGAGGUGAAACUUGUUCAAGUUGUUGAUCACUGUAUAUCAAGAAAACUACCAGAAUCACUUGUGUCUUAAGAGAAUUUAACUUGAGAUUUUUGUUUUCAAAUCUGUCAUACUAAUUUUCUGCACUAGGGAUAUCACUUCAAUUCAUUGGUUUUGUUCUUCCUCAUGCAUUUAUCGUUGUUCUCAUUAUGGAAAAAACAGGGCACAAGUUUUGCAUGCACAUUGGUUGGCUCUAGAGUCUAGAUAGAAUAUAUUAGUGUAACUGUUAAGAAACAGCAAGUAUGUUGCUAUAGAUCCUUGUCAGUUUAUAAUAAUAGAUUGUGUGAAUAUUUUGUGUGAUGGCUUGGCUUCUUAGCUUGUUUACAUUACUAAGAUAAUCUUCUUUGUCAAUCUUGUCUUAGUAUCAUUGUGCAAAGUCAUGAGUUCUUGUAGUCUUACUCUCAUAUUACUAAGAUAACUUAUAUGGAUUUCUUUUAACAAGGUUCUGGAAUCCAUUUGUAAAUUGAAUUACUAUACUGACAAGAUUCGAUGUCAUGCCACCCGUGUAUCAACUUUUGAUGUCUGUCUUAUUUAAGGCAUUUCUGGAAUCUAACAAGGUGGAUGAUGUGUUACAUUUGUUCAAUGCCAUGCAUUCUGAAGGUUUUAAACCAGAUAAAGAUUGUUUUGCAGAAAUAGUAACUACUCUUUGUGCUGAUGGUAGAAUGGAUGAAGCAGUUAGUGUCUAUAUUGCUAUUGUUGUGAAGCAUCCUGAUAGUGAUUUCCACCUUGAUAAUCACAUCCCUUUUAUGAUAAUGACCUUGUGUGAUGGCUUGGCUUCUUAGCUUGUUUACAUUACUAAGAUAACUUAUAUUCAACUUGUUACUGCUACUACUGCACUGUUGUUGCGAUUCUUCAUUAUUUCGGUCACAUUCUGAUCUGUUGUCCAUUUUCUUGUUACAAAGAUGUCAGAUAAUAUCUUAGACUUCACAGUGCCACAAGAUACAAACCUCAAUGCGUCGAAUGAACUAUAAAAUGAACUUGAAUCUAAUGUUGAACAUGAUGUUCAAUCUACUGGUAAAUGGAAAGAAAAAGGCUAAAUGCAAUUAUUGCCCUAAGCUCAUUGUGAUUAGCAGGACAAGUGGUAUGUGGAAUCAUCUAGGAAGAUGCGCUAAGUAUAACUCUGGUGACACCCAAGGGACCCAAUCAAGGAAAAGGAGAAAAAUCGUUAAAAAGGGUCAAGUUCUUUCUUCUCCAAGCUUUUCCAAAUUUGAUCAAGAGGCAUGCCAAGCGCAAUUAGUGAGAACUUUUGUGUGUGUCGAGCUCCCAUUCCAAUUUGUGGAAAAUGAAGAAUUUAGAAAGUUGUUGAUUAUCUUGCAGCCUCGAUUCAACAUCCCCUCACGAUAUACAUUGAGGCGUGACAUCUGGGCGCUCUACAACGAGGAGUUGGGAAAAUUGAAAAAAUUCUUGAAGAAUUGUGGUAGAGUUGUUUGACAACUGAUACAUGGACAUCAAAUCAAAACUUAAAUUACAUGAGUUUCAUCGUUCAUUUUGUUGAUCGUGAAUUGAAGCUGCACAAGAAAAUCAUCAACUUUUGCCAAAUCAUGGGUCACACGGGAGACAUGUUGGGUAAAUAUGUUGACACUUAUUUGAGGGAUUGGGGGUUGUAUGGUAAGAUAUUAACGAUAACGGUGGAUAAUGCCAAGGCAAAUGAUGUUAUGAUUCGAUAUCUGCAUAACAUGAUGAGUUCUUGGGACAAUCACGUCCUAAAUGGGGAUUAUGUUCACAUGCGGUGUUGCACGCAUGUAUUAAACCUUAUUGUGAAAUCUGGCUUGAAGGAGGAUAAACAAGGGUCUAUUUCAAAGAUUCGUCAUGUUGUUAAAUGGGUUAAAUCCUCGCUAUCUAGAUUGGAAAAGUUCAUGAGAUGUGCUUCUGAUGAGAAAAUUCCAUACAAAGGUGUUGUUGUACUUGAUGUUGACACUCGUUGGAACUCAAUGUAUUCAAUGUUGUCGGUUGCCUUGAAGUAUAGAAAGGCCUUUCACAAGUUAAGCGUACGAGAGGUCACAUUUCGUCGAGAAAUGGAAGAGAAAACAACGCAUGGAAUAACAGAUGGAGAUUGGGACUAUGUUGAAUCUGUGCUUCCCUUGCUUGAGUUGUUUUAUAAAUCCACAAUUCGUUUGUCUGGUUCUUUGUAUGUGACAAGUGCUUCGUAUAUGGCAGAGGUGUUCGCCAUUGGGAAAGGGAUCAACAAGCAUAUGAGUAGUACAAAUAAGUACAUCAUGGAGACAGCGAACAAGAUGAAAAUUAAGUUUAACAAGUAUUGGGGAGAUCCAGACACCUUAAAUAUCUUGCUAUUGAUUGCUUUUGUUCUUGAUCCACGGGCGAAACUGCAUUUUGCUGAAUUUUAUAUUGACCUUCUAUAUGCAAGCGUCGGAAAAGCUAAACAACUGAAGGACAAAUUGAUGUCAGAUUUUAGAAAAAUUUAUGUUCAAUAUGGUGGUACAGAUUACGCUCAAUCUAGUCUACUAGAAACUAGUCAUGAGAAGGAUGACGAUGAUAUUUGGUGCCACUACAGUCAAGAAACCAGGCAUGUUUCUGAUUCUAAAGAUGAAAUUGAAAAAUAUCUAAAAGAAGCUCGAGUGCCUUACAAGAAAGAAAUUGAUUUUGACAUCUUAGGUUGGUGGAAAGCCAACUUAACUAGAUAUCCUAUUUUGGCAAGCAUAGCUCAAGAGAUGUUAGAUAUUCCUGCAUCUACAGUAGCUUCAGAGUCGGCAUUCAGCACUGGUGGAAGGGUUGUUAGUGAUUAUAGAACUUGUCUAACACCCAAAAUAAUGGAAGCGCUUGUUUCCACGCAAGACGGGUUGAAAGGAAAGGCCAUCCCCUUGUUUUCUGAAGAGGACCUUGAUGACAUCCAUAGAUUGGAGAAAGGUAAAUUUACUCGUAUCUAUAUUAUUACUCUUGUGCAUUUUGAUUCUUAUUUUCAACAUUGGUUAAUAUAUAUCUUUUUUUUUUGUAGAGAUUACAUCUCAAGAAUCAGUCCACUUAGAUGAUAUAAAUUGAAAACCAUCCACUUGAAUCAUAAAGGUAACACUUGAGAUAAAUAUGUUUGGUUAAUAUAUAGUAUUAGUUACUGUCAAAUGUCUUGAAUCCCUUUCUAUGUCAAUUCACUUCAAUUCUUGUCUUUUUGUUUUACAAGGCCAAUACCAUAUGAAUGAUCAAACAUAAUUCAUAAAGCCAGAGAUCAAUUUGGACUGCAAAAUUGAAGUUAUUAGCUACUUGUUGAGAGAAGAUGUCUGCUAUUAUAAACAUUUAGCUUUAUUUUGUUUUGCCAUUGUAAUAGUUUUCUUUGGAAGGAUGUUGACUCUAUUAACUUAUGCAAGUAUGAUGUAUUGAGAGUAACUAAGGAAUUAUUGUGCAUUUUUAUGCUUCAAACUGAAGUUGAUUUUAUUGUUACUUAAUGAUUAAGCUUUUAUGGUUUAUGUGCUCUUAUGUUGAUUUUUUUGACUUGGUUCGGAUCAGAUCGUUUUUUUCAAAUCCGAAACAAACUAAACCGAACCUCGAAAGUAAAUAUUAAUACAUAUUUUUUUACCGUGUUUAAUCUUAUAUAUUACAUUAAUUUAAUAUAUAUUAUUAUUACUUCAUAUCUUUCAAAAAUUAAUCGAUAAUAAUUUUCAUUCUGUAAUUUUUAUUUCUUAAUAUAUUUUGCAUUAAACUUAUUAUUUUAUUUUGUUUGUGUAAUAAUAAUAUUACUAAAAAAAAUUAUAUUUUUAAAAAAAAAGUAAAUAAAAAAAUAUUUUGCAUUUUGGAUAUAAAAAACACAAUUAAAUUCACAAAAGGAAAAAAAAAUACAUUUCGGUUCAAAAUAUUGGUUUUGGUUCGGUUUAGUUCAUAGGUAAGAAAACGGUUAACCGAACCAUAACUUUGGUUCAGUUCGUAUACCAGCAUACCUGAAACGGUUCGGUUCAGUUUUUCCGAACCAUUUCAAAAUUUCGGUUCGGUUCGGUUUUUUAGGUUAACCGAACCAUGUCCACCCCUAAUUACCAUAAUAAAAAUUUCCUCUGAAUAAGAUAUAGAAAUUCUCAUCUUAUACCUCUGAAAUAAUACCACUUACGUGAACUUUAUAUGGUCCAGCGACUUCUGCUUCUUCAUCACGAACCAUUCUGGUAACUUGAAUAUCUGAAACAAAUAAAAGGGAUUGGGGUGAGAUAGGAUGUCUCAGUGAGUUCCACCUAUCCUAGGCUAUAGGCAAUUUCAGGGAAAUUAGGAUCGCCAUAUGUUCUAAACUCAACCCAUUUCAGGUUUAUACAGUCUUUAUCAUACAUAACUGAGCGAUCGGGGAUAACUAAGAUCUCUACGAAGAAUACUAUCAUGAUUUUUUUUCAUAAUGUCAUAUUCUUAUUCAUACACAUACUCGUAAUCAUAAUCAUAAUUCUUAGCUAAAAGUUCAUGCCAUUAAUUAUACAUUUUACUAUGUGCAUAUAUCUCUUCGUGGUGGCAACAAUAACUUUUUUUUUUUUUUUUUUGUUACUAUGAGUCGUACCUCAUAGUCUACAUUAUCUCUUCGUUGUAGCAAACUGAGUUUUCGCAUUUGUUACUAUGAGUCGUACCUCAUAGGCUAUAUUAUCUCUUCGUUGUAGCAAACGGAGUUUUCACAUUUGUUACUAUGAGCCGUACCUCAUAGGCUACAUCAUCUCUUCGUUGUAGCAAACGGAGUUUUCACAUUUGUUACUAUGAGCCGUACCUCAUAGGCUACAUUAUCUCUUCGUUGUAGCAAACGGAAUUUUCACAUUUAUUACUAUGAGCCGUACCUCAUAGACUACAUUAUCUCUUCGUUGUAGCAAACGGAGUUUUCAAUUUUAUCUUCGCAUUUGUUUUAUCUUUUUUUUUCUUUCUUUGAGUAUGUUACUCAUUUCAGUUUUUCUUUCAAAUCAUUUCUAUAAGUAUAUACAUCCAUUGUCUUGCUUACUGUUUUAUUUCUAGAACCAAUUCAUAUGAUCAACACUUUCAUAACAUUGAUAUCAUAUAAAGUUUCAUUCGCAUUAUAUCAUAACUUUGCAUAACCAUUAAAACCUCGUUUAUAUUGAGUAAAAGUAAAUAACACAAUUUUAAUGACAUAAUUCAAACUACCCAAAGGGAGAGUUAACUAACUAAAGGAACUUACCUUGGCAUUUUCCUGAAUUCUCUAUACCAUUUAAGUCUCAAAUAAACUCUUGUCAGUUUCAUAAGCGCUUUUCUACUAAACAGUUUAUUGCGGCUUUUUACGUCAGCUUCCAAUUUUCUGCAUUUCAACUCAAAACAAACACUUAUUCAGCCCUUCGAACAUACAUAUUAAGUUCUGGAACUAUUCACACAAUUUAAAUUCACGUUUUAGCUUAUUUCGGAAAAAUCCUGGCCAAACCCGUAGGCUUUGUUUGGGAGUUUGGAGGGGAAGGAAAGGAAAGGCUUUGAGGGGUGCAAAAUAUAAGGAAAUAUAGAGAAAUCUUUCAAAUUUUUUAAAAGAGUAGUUUUUUAGAGAAUGAUAAUUUAAUGCAUAUGAUUACUUUAUUUUUAAUUUUAAAAAUAUUAUAACAACAUAGAUUAAAUUUGAAAAAUUCUUACUAACCCUCCAAAACGCCCCAAAACCCUCCUCCAAUACAGUUUUGUAGUUCCUCCAAAUGAGGAAGAUUUUGUAUUAUGAAGAAAAGUUAACCCCCCAAAACCUUCAUCUCCCAUUUUCCUCUAUUUCUUCCACUUGCUCAUUCCUUUUUUCCCAAGUCUUCCCCUCCAAACUCGCAAACAAAGCCGUAGGCAAUUUUUUCAGCAUAAAAUCCAAACUUCAAACCCGUUUUCUAAAUCCAUUCCUAAUCCGAAACAUACAAAAUUUAUAUCCAAACUGAAGGGAAUUAAGUGUAGAGUCCAAAAAUCCAAUAAUUAUUCAAUUAUGGGUUACACAGCCAGAGAUAUGACCCAAAUACCAUAAAUCUGUCCUUACCAAUUUUAAACUAACAUGCCAAAAUAUUCAGCCGUAAAGUCUUAACCAUCACACUCAGUUUCAACACCACCACUCCAUAAUACAGCAAAAAUAAUUCAUUUCAAGGUUCUCAUAUAACUAUUUUCAUCCAAUUCCAUAGCAAUUUCUGUAAUCCCAAUUUAUCAACUUCUCUAGUUACCAUGAACUCUAAUAACAUACACUUACAAUUACUACAACCUUUAACAAUUUCACAAUUUCUUUAAUCCCAAUUUAGUAAAGAACUCACCUCAUUUGGAAAUACCCUCUUGAUACAAGAUGUCCUAAAGCUCCAAACUCUUACUUUCUUCUAAACUUUCUUCUUCCAACAUGAAGGAUUGUCAAUGAUUUCUCUACAUGUAAGCCAUUCAUCCUUGGAUUUGAGAGAAAAUUGAAAUUGGGGAAAGAAGGGAUUGGUUCUGGUUCGGCCACUGUAGCACUAGAAAGGAAUGAGUUUUGCUUCCUUUAGCUUGAGUGGAAGAAAAAAGAAAGACAUGUAAGCUUGAAAGGAUAAUAGUAAUGGAAGAUUUUUUGGGGUUAGGAGGUGAAGAAAGCCUUCAGCUGAGAAAGAAAAUAAGAGGGAGAGAUAUUUUAAGUUUUGUGAGGGGAAGUGUGUGGAAGAUGUAGAAAAAUCGGUAUUGACCAAUUCUAUGGGUUGAACUGGGAAAAGACUUCUUUGCCCCUUUCACUUACUCUUAGGGAUAUUACAUAUAUGCUGCUUACUAGUAAUGAUCUGUGCUACAUGGCAUGAAUGUGGGAAACAAAAUGAACAGAAAUAGAUGUGUGAAAUUAGGUCAUAUGUCAUCAGGGAAAAAAAGUUCUUCCAAAGAAUAUGCUAUGAUCAAAUAUUAUAGUUUAGCUACUCUGAUCCAUUUUAAUAUACAUAUUGAAAGGAAAGUGGAAUGCAACUAACAUCCAUCCAUCUAUAUCUCUUCUGUUUGUAAACUAAAAACUUACUCAUUUUAAUAUACUCUCUUUGUAAAUUAAAUUUGACUCAUUCUAAUAAUAGAAUUGUGGCUUUGUGGUGUAACACCCUAAUUUUCUAUUUUUAGUUAAUUCAAUGAUAUUUAAUAGGUGGAGUUUUGAUUAAUAUUCUCUUUUGUGGUGGUCAGGGUUCGAAUUCCGAACCAUGCAUAUAUUAUGCAUUGUUCAUACCAACUGAGUUAAGCUCACGAAGACGAUUAAUAUUAUUGUUGAUGUAGUUUGUGCUUGAGUAUUAUUUUGUUGACGAUAAAAUAGAAAUAAUGAUGUGGAGUGGGAGGUGGUUUGAGAAAAUUAAAAGAAAUGAAGAGGAGAGUCCAACAAAAUAAAUAAAGAGUCAUGGGUGUAGAAAGUAAGAUUUUAAUAAGUGAGGAAGGGGGGAAGUAAAAGAGUAUUGCAUAAAAAAGGAAGGCAAUUAUAGAGAAUAGUGAGCCUAGAUAUAAAUAUGAAUAUUAGGGAUUAGAAAUCAGUUUUGCUGAUCAGAGAAAAGGGAGAAGAGAAGCAUAGGGAGAGAAGCGAAACCCUAGUGUAGCAACAUCGGGUCAAACCAAAGGUUUCUAUGGAUUUGAGGUAAGGGAGAGAAUCUAUUCAUCUAUAGGGUUAAUAUUUUGUUGUGGGGCUAUAAAGAGAUUAGAGAGUGAGUGAUGUUAUAAUGGUGAUGAAAUUAUUGAUGUGUUGUUUAAUUCUUAAGAUAUGAUUGUUGUUAUGAUGAAAAAUUCCACUAAAAAAUUAUGAAGAAUGAAUAAAAUUGUUGUUGAAAGAGUAAAACUAAGGGAACCUAGUUUAGAGAUUAGGGUUAAGAAUUUGACCCGAAAGAGUGUAAAAUUGGAUAGGAUAAGAGGGAAUUAAUAACGUCUAAACAGUAGGAUAACCCUAGAGUGAUGUUUAGGGACAAAUUGGGUAAGUUAAGGGUCCAAAAGUAGGAGUUUAGGACAACUUAUGAUUGAUUCUAAGGCCGAAAAAUAUGUUUUUCAGGCAUCUGAAUCGAUUCAAAUUUAUGUAAAUCGUAUCAAUCUUCAUCUGGGGAUUUUGAAUCGAAUCACAUACUCCUUGAAUCAUAUCACAGAAAGUUUUUGGACUUGAUUGAAUCGAUUCAUAUAAAUGUGAAUUGAUUCAUACUUAGAUGUCUGCAUGAAAGUUGUAGAUAUGGAUGUCAGCUUUGAUGUGUCUUUGAAGGGACUCCUUUUAGACUCCUACAACUUGAGUUAUGAUCAAAUUACUGUACAUGGGUCAUAAUGUGUUUUUCAUGGAACUUCGGCACAAUCCUUUCAAUGGACCUCAGACCAUCAUAGAAAAUAAUUGUGAUUUUAAUAAAGGUGUUAACGUGAAAGGUAAAAGUAAGGAUCCCUAGACUAUAUAUCUAAAUGAGGAACUGUGUUUAUGCAUAAAUAGAAGUUAUUACCUUAUGGAAAUGGCGAGUCUAAAACAUGAACUAGUGAUAGUGGCGUAAAACAAUAGAAGAUAGUAACGAUGGAACUAUAUAUGAAGAUAGGAUCCUAAACUUAGUAAGCCUAAAAGAAUAGGGGAAAGACAUUAUGAGGAAUGACGAGUAGAGUGAAAAAUAUCUUAAGAUUGAGAGCGAAGGGUAAGACCUGUCACCAUGACAAAAGAUAUAGAAAAUGGAGAUACAACUAUUGAUGGAUGUGUGUUUUAAACAUGAUGUCGAAAUAUCGAAGAUGUAAACAAUAUGUAUGAUAGGUAGAUAUGAUGUUAAUCGAUGAAUGAGAUGUUAAAGUUAUAAUAUGAUGAGGUAUGAUGAUGAUGAUGAUGAUGAACGACGUAACAGAUGAUGCUUAAGAAAGACUUGAAGGUAAAGUAGAGAGAGUUGUAAGAGGUUAAUUCAUGAACUAAUAAGGAUGAAAAUAAUAGUAAAUUAGAGUAAAGGAUAAAUUUAGCGACGAGUAUAUAUGAAGAGCGAGAACGUAUGAAGGUUGUUAGGUUGAAGAGAAGAAGAGUCAAGGUAGAUGAUACUGAUAAAGAUACGAUGAGGUGUAGGUAACCGAUGAUAAAGGGGAGUGGGUUAAAUAAAGGGAUAAGGUGAGAGAUAUCAGUCGCGGUAAGGAUGAAUGUCGAGCACUCAUGAAUAAUGGGACAAGAUCAUAACGGUGUAAAUAAUGAUGUCGAAUUAGAGAAUUGAUGUUGAUGAUGAGUGGAUAGUUAUGAAAUGUAGACGAAGAUAUAGAGUUGUGUAUGAAGUAAAUGAAUGACGUGAGGGGUAGUAAGAGUUGUGAGUUAGGAUAGGAAUCGAUUAGAAGAGAGAAAGAUGGAUAGGAAAGAGGAUAUGAGAUAUUAGCUAUAAGGUUAGACUAUGAUAAUAACAACUGGUAUCGAGAGAAUAAAACCUUGAAUUAUAAUGAAGUCGUAGUGACGAAAGUUAUUGAAGUUGAAGGUAAUGAUAAGGUGUGAUAAUAAUUUCAAAUUAGAACAAAAUUAAGAUUAGGAGAAUGGUCAAUGUAUAGAUGACGAGGAAUGUGAGAAUGAGAUAAUAAGAUAUAAAGUCGCUUUAAUGAGAAGAAUAAGUUUGAAAGAGUUAAUGACAAUGGUGAGGAAGAACCAAGUUAUAUAGCGAGACAAUGAAUAAGAAAACAUCUUGAGACUAAGAAUGAGGAAUAGGGAAUGAUAUCGGAAAUAAAGUUUAUAUAUAUCCUAGAAUAGAUGAGAAAAUAGAGUAUGUCCAUAAGAUGAAUAAUAAAAUAAAAUAGAGGGAUGUUGACGUCGAAAUGUUGCCCUCCACUCUUUUAUCCCCAAUCUCGAAAGCAAAUUAAACCUAUUCAUUUUAUCUCCCUUAUAUUUAACUCCUAUCGACUUGCAAAUGCCCCACACUUCUUCAACUAUAGCUUUAGCAGUACUGUCGCGUCAUUUUUUGGAGAUCAAGGCUAUUUGAUUAGCUUUUGACUCACUAAUUAUUUCACGACUGAACAUUUAAUUUUAUUAAGAAAAGGGGAAAAAAGUUCAAAUUACCCCUAUUUGAAAAGAUUUAGGGUUCGGGGGUUAGUUACAUAAAGGGAAGGUAUUAGCACCCUCUAUGUCCGUAGUACUCUACGGGAACCUCUUGGUUUUAUUUAAUUUAAUGUGCUAUAACUUGCUUGCUUUUGAAAAAGAAGUUAAUGUGAUGAUUAAAAGAAAAAGAAAGUGAGACCUAAUUUAUCUACAUUUUUUAUUGUUUGGAAGGACAUGGUCCUCUGCCUACGUACCCGUGAAGGAUCAAAACCUCGUAGUUCGGGGUAGAAAACGACGUUUGAUUGGUUUUGUGUUUUUUAUUAGUUUUUGAAAAAAGGUUUAAAAAAUAAAAGCCAAGUGGCAAAUAAGAAUUUGUUUGUGUUUUUUAUUAAAAAAAGAUAACUCGAAGUAUGAUUAAAUUGAUUGAUAUUUGAUUAAGAAAAUAAAAUGAAAAAAAGGACGAUCACUUGAUUUAGGAUCAAGGUUUAUUAUGAAAAAAUGUUUUUUGUGAUUUUUGGUUAUUUGCAUGUUUUUUUUUGUGAUUUUUGGAUAAAUAUAUAAACUAACGGAGCAUAAAGAAUAAAAGCGCGGCUACCCUAAGUUAGAAACGUAAAAUCUAUGACUAUUACAUAAAAAGCCUAUUUACAUUCUAAGGUCUGCAAUAAAAAUUAAAAUGCUAAAAAUAAAUAAACAAAUACGAAAAGGAAUAAGGAAAAAUAAAAAAAAAAUGGUCCAAACACAAGGUGGGGUGCAGUAGUAAAUAGGGGUGUGCAGAAAGCAAAAAAAAAAGAAUUGGGCUUUAAGGAAACGAACCGGGUCGCGGGUCGUGGGUCAUGGGCGACCCGGUUUGGGGGAUAUAUAAGGGUUGUAGGGUUUUUUCUUUCAUUUUUCAUUUUUCUUUCUCUCUCUUAUCCCUCAAAUCCUCUCUUCUCUCUCUACUUCUUUCUUCUUCUCCGGUUGGAGAUGGGGCGGCCGGGAGAAGUCCGGCGCGGUGGCCGGCGAGCCAUCGCGGCUGCGCCGCCGCGCCGGAGCUAAAAAGCUCCUCCUUUUUUUGAUUUUUUUCGCUCUUUCUCUUCUACUUCCCUCCCUCUGUUCACUUCUAGCCUUCAAGUUCCCAAAACCUUUACCCAAACGCCUAGAUCUAAAAAAAAGAAAGAAAUUUAUACCUUUUGUUUAAGAAAUGGAUUCGGCUUUCUUGUGGCCGGUUCUGUGAUGUGAUUGUCGCUGUUGUAACGGUUUGCGCGCCUCUGUGUGUGCGUGUGUGUGUUGUGUUGCGCGCGGCCGUGUUUCCGUUUCUAUGCGUGCUUCUCUGGUUCCUGUUGUGCGAUUUUUGUUUCUUAUGCGCGUCUCUCUGGCUUCUGUUGUGUGUUGUGUUGCGAUGCCGUCCUCUGUUUCUUCGUGUUUUUCUUUGUUGUGCGGGUCUCUAUUUAUAGAGUGAGUUUGAGGCUAGGGUUUGUUACUGAUGAGCAAAAAAAGCAGUGGCUUGUGGAGGAGAAAAAGGGAAACGCGUCUGUUUUAUUGGAUUUGUUUCAGAUGAGGCGUGAAUCCGGAUUUGGAUUAGAACAGCAUAUGCGUGAUGCUGUUAUCUUGAACCUGGACUUUUUGGAUUUUGGACUUUUUGGACUUAAAAAGAAAAAAUAAUUAAAAGGAUAAUAUCUACAUUUUUGGUUUUAAAUAAAAAAGAAAAAUUUUUAAAAUGGGAAUAAAAGAAAUUUAAUCUAACUUGGACUAAAAUUAAAAUUAGAGUUCUAAAUUAAAAGAUGGAAAUAAAUAAUUAAAGACUGAGAGAAGAGGGCCCGAUUCGGAACUUUAUGAGGUAUUUCAAAAUACCUCCCUGCCGAAUUUUUUACUGAGACGUGAGACCGAUCAGGUUUAAAUGGCGUGUGUCAGUGAGAUCUUGGGUCAAAAAUUGGGGUAUGACAGAUGCCCCUAUUUAAGUUUCUUCGUUCAGAGAUUUUGAAGAUGGAAUCUUUGAUUCGAUGAGCCGAAGAGACUUAAAUACAAAAGUGCACCAAUUUUGACCUAAGAUACUAUGAAUGUUCAUGAUUUAAUUAUGAAUGCAUGAUGACAAUGACGGCUCGACUGGAAUGAAAAGACCCUAGGAUACCCAAAUUCUUCGAAGAAAGGGAUCCGACUUCACUGGGGAAUCUGGUUUCACUGGGGAAAAUGGUUGUUCCUCAUUGUCUCGACAUCUUGAAACAAAGCGCAAAUGGUUCAGACUCCAAUGUCCAUUUGUGGACUUGGUUUUGAAAAUGAAAUAAUAGAAGGAUACAAGCUAUUUGUUGGUUGAAAUUGGCCACUUGUUACAGGCUGUUCGUUGGUUGGAACCGGUCGCUGAGCAUAAAGGUAAAAGAUUGACAUGAGUUGUUCGUUUGUUGGAACUAGUUGCUCGGAAGGUAAAAAACAUUGGCAUAGGCUAUUCGUUUGUUGGAAUCGGUCGCUGGGCAUAAAGAUAAAAGAUUGACAUGAGUUGUUCGUUUGUUGGAACUAGUUGCUCGGAAGGUAAAAACAUUGGCAUAGGCUAUUCGUUCGUUGGAAUCGGUCGCUGGGCAUAAAGAUAAAAGAUUGACAUGAGUUGUUCGUUUGUUGGAACUGGUUGCUCGAAAGGAAAAAAAACUGGCAUAGGCUAUUCGUUUGUUGGAAUCGGUCGCUUGAAAAGUUUGGAUUGGUGACAUCUCUAGAACAGCUACGCUGGGGAUGAUACCUGGAGUUUGAAGUUGACAUCGAGAUUAACUAGCGUCGUGACUAGUACGGCUUUCCGCCGGGGAUGACACUUCGAAACUAAAGUUGAAAUUGGCAUUGAUUAGUGACAUGACUUAGCACGGUUUUUCGCCGGGGAUGACACUUCGAAACUAAAGUUGAAAUUGGCAUUGAUUAGUGACAUAACUAGCACGGCUUUACGCCGGGGAUGACACUUUUGAAUUUGAAAUUGAAAUUGACAUUGAUUAGUGACAUAACUAGCACGGCUUUACGCCGGGGAUGACACUUUUGAAUUUGAAAUUUGAAAUGGAAGACGCUCAUUUGUAGAAACUUGCGGCUUGACACAAUGGUAAGCUUUGACUGAUGCAAUUAUGUGUGAAUUGAUGUUAUGCAUAUGUCGUGUACGCAUAAACGUAUGAUUAUGUGAAAAUAUUGGUGAAUGCAUGAUUCUAUGAAUGUAUGGAUAUAUGAAUGUACAUGACACGUGAGUCGAUGAACCGAGACAAGACAGGUAAGAUGGGAGUCGGACCGACAUUGCAUUACAAACACUCGGCAACCUUCCUUGGAGAUGAUAUUAUUGUGAGCAAAUCGAGCCGUUGAUGGUGUAAGAACCUGGCACUAGGUAGCCACCGAUGCCUCCUGGGGGGUGAGCCCAUUGUCGAUGAAAGAAGUCUGGAAGAAGUCGCCAUUUGUAAACCGGCACAGAGUGUCCUUCCAUUGGUAUGCUUCAGCAGUCAUACCUUUUGUUUUAUUAAAAGAAAAUCCCUAAUUUUUGCCUGGACCGCCCUUUCGGGUUUUCAGUCCACCGGGAAUAUUUUUUGUUUUGCCCCUAAUUUUUGCCUGGACCGCCCUUUCGGGUUUUCAGUCCACCGGGACGCCCUCUGUUGCCUAAGUCGCCUUUUCAGGUUUUCAACUUAGCGAGCUUCUUUGUAUUAUUUUUGUAUUUGUUUAUUCAGAGACUUUCCUUAGUGUCGAGCCACGCUUUUAGCAGGAUCUAACCUCUUUUGAGUUGAUAUAUGCCUCUUUUACUCCCGAGUGCCAAGCUGUAUCUAUUUGUUUAUGCUUUUUUUUUUUUUUUUUUUUUUAUAUAAUGUUUUAGAAAUCUGUUUCAAAAUAUUAUCAUCAAUAAAAGAGGGAAAAAAAAAAAUCGAGAAACAAAACAAGUAGGAGUCAAAAGAGAGGUAAAAGCUCAAAGUUUAUUAAUCGAAUGACGCUAUGCCAAUGGCAUGACUUCAUGGAGUUCUUUACAAAGUUUGAAAAGAAAUGGUAAUUUAAAAUGGAAAGGUACGUUGAACUUCAUAACUCUAUCGUUCUCUAACAACUUUGAAAUCCGUUAUCUUGUGGCUCGAAUACUUUUGAUAUCAGGUAUGCCCCAAGUGUAUCUGUGUUCGACUGGAUGCAGUUACUUUGUCUCUCUUUUUUUUUUUUUUUUUUUUUUUUUUUUUUUUUUUAAAUCCUUAAUUUUUGCAUAGACUGCCCUUUCGGGUUUUCACUCUAUCAGGAUAAUGAUCUCUGUUUAUUGUCUCUAAUUUUUGCCUGGACCGCCCUUUUCGGGUUUUCAGUCCACCGAGACGCUCAUUUUUGCCUAAGUCGCCCUUUUCGGGUUUUCGACUUACCGAGCUGUUCUUUUAAAGUUUUUAGACAAAGUAUUUCUUGACUGCAUCCGUGUUCACAGGUCGUGGAAGUUCUUCACCGUCCAUGGUUUGUAGAGUCAUGGCACCACCUGAGAAGGCUCUUUUAACAACAUACGAACCUUCAUAAUUAGGAGCCCACUUGCCUCGGGAGUCUGGUUGGAAAGAGAAAAUCUUUUUGAGCACAAGAUCACCUUCUUUAAACUCACGGGGACGAACUUUCUUGUCAAAGGCCUGUUUCAUUCUUUUCUGAUAUAAUUGUCCGUGACAUAGGGCUGUCAUGCGCUUUUCUUCAAUUAGAUUCAACUGGUCGUAUCUAUUCUGAACCCAUUCAGCUUCUGAUAAGUCAGCCUCCAUUAGAACUCUUAAUGAUGGAAUUUCGACUUCUACAGGAAGUACUGCCUCCAUGCCAUACACCAGGGAGAAGGGAGUUGCCCCUGUUGAAGUGCGUAUAGAAGUACGAUAUCCAUGUAAUGCAAAGGGAAGCAUUUCAUGCCAAUCUUUAUAAGUCACCACCAUCUUCUGGACAAUCCUCUUUAUAUUCUUAUUUGCAGCUUCGACAGCACCAUUCAUUUGGGGUCUGUAAGGUGAAGAGUUAUGGUGCUCGAUCUUGAAAUCAUCACACAAUUCUUUCAUCAUCUUGUUGUUUAGAUUUGUUCCGUUGUCGGUGAUGAUCCGGUUGGGGAUGCCAUAACGACAAAUGAUAUGAUUCUUGAUAAAUUUGACCACUACUUGUUUGGUCACAUUGGCAUACGAUGCGGCCUCAACCCACUUAGUGAAGUAGUCAAUAGCCACUAGGAUAAAACGGUGUCCAUUUGAAGCUUUGGGCUCAAUCCUUCCGAUCAUGUCAAUGCCCCACAUAGAGAAAGGCCACGGAGAGGAAAGCAAAUUGAGUGUAGUUGGCGGCAUAUGAAUCUUGUCGGCGUAUAUCUGACACUUGUGACACUUUCUGGUAUGCUUGUAGCAAUCUGAUUCCAUUGUCAUCCAGUAGUAGCCUGCUCGCAAUAUCUUUUUAGCCAUUGUGUGCCCAUUAGGAUGAAUUCCGAAGGAUCCUUCGUGUAUUUCAUGUAUCAAUAAAUCAGCUUCAUAUUUGUCUACACAUCUGAGCAAGACCGUGUCAAAGUUUCUUUUGUACAAGAUAUCCCCAUUCAUGAAGAAAUUACUAGAUAAUCUUCUGAGAGUCUUCUUAUCUUUGUUGGAUGCUCCAGGAGGAUACUCUCGAGUUUGGAGAAACACCUUAAUAUCAUGAAACCAAGGUUUAUCGUCGAAAACUGCUUCAGCGGCAAACACAUAAGCGGGUCUAUCAAGGAAUUUGACACUGAUUAGUAGCACGUCAUUGUGAUGAUUCACCUUGAUCAUUGAAGACAAAGUAGCCAAGGCAUCAGCCAUCUGAUUCUCAUCCCGAGGGAUAUGAUGUAAUUCCACUUUGUUGAAGAAGGUCAAUAAACGUCUUGCAUAGUCUCGAUAAGGUAUUAGUCCUGCGUGAAGAGUUUCCCAUUUUCCUUUGAUCUGGUUGAUUACAAGAGCUGAAUCUCCAUAUAUUUCGAUGUUCUUGAUUCUUAGAUCAAUGGCUUCUUCAAUACCCAUGAUGCAGGCUUCAUAUUCAGCGAUGUUGUUCGUGCAGUCAAACCGGAGUCUUGCUGUGAAAGGGAUGUGAGCACCCUUAGGAGUAAGGAGUACUGCCCCUAUGCCGUUGCCGUAUACAUUGACAGCCCCAUCAAAUAUUAAACCCCACACUGAAUCUGGAUCAGGUCCUUCUCCGAAUAGUGGCUCGUCACAAUCUUUCAUCUUUAGAUACAUAAUCUCUUCAUCAGGAAAGUCAAACUUGAUAGGUCGAUAGUCUUCAAGUGGUUGGUGAGCUAAGUGAUCAGCAAGAAUACUGCCUUUAAUUGCCUUCUGGGAACGGUACUCGAUAUCAUAUUCAGAUAGUAGCAUCUGCCACCGUGCAAUCCUUCCUGUCAAAGCGGGCUUCUCAAAUAUGUACUUGAUUGGAUCCAUUUUAGAUACCAGCCAAGUAGUGUGAUUAAUCAUAUAAUGACGGAGGCGUUUGGCAGCCCAGGCUAGAGCACAACACGUCUUCUCGAGCAUGGAGUAGCGAGAUUCACAUUCAGUAAACUUCUUGCUUAAAUAAUAAAUGGCGUGCUCUUUUCUUCCGGUUUCAUCUUGUUGUCCGAGCACACAACCCAUGGAAUUUUCUAGCACUGUUAGGUACAUGAUCAAAGGUCUUCCUUCAACUGGAGGGAUGAGAAUCGGUGGUUCUAGCAAGUACUUCUUUAUGCUGUCAAAAGCCUUCUGGCAAUCCUCGGUCCACACAAUACCUUGUUCUUUGCGGAGUAGUUUGAAUAUCGGCCCACAAGUUGCAGUCAUAUGAGAAAUGAACCGGGAGAUGUAAUUUAGUCGUCCAAGAAAACCCCUUACUUCUUUUUCUGUUCUCGGAGCAGGCAUCUCUCUGAUGGCUUUGACUUUGUCAGGAUCUACUUCGAUGCCUUUCUGGCUGACAAUGAAACCUAGAAGCUUUCCGGAUCUAACACCAAAAGUGCAUUUGUUGGGAUUCAGACGAAGUUUGUACUUCCUCAGGCGCUGGAACAUCUUCUGUAGAUACUUGACAUGGUCUUCUUCAGUAAUUGACUUGACUAUCAUAUCAUCCACAUAGACUUCAAUCUCUUUAUGUAUCAUAUCGUGGAAAAGAGUAGUCAUACCCCUCUGAUAAGUAGCUCCGGCAUUGAUUAAACCGAACGGCAUUACUUUGUAACAGAAAGUGCCCCAAGGUGUAAUAAAUGAUGUUUUCUCUCUAUCUUCGGGUGCCAUCUUGAUUUGAUUAUAACCGGAGAAUCCAUCCAUGAAUGAGAAGACUUUAGACUUUGCAGUACUGUCAACCAACACGUCAAUAUGAGGUAAAGGAAAGUCGUCUUUCGGGCUAGCUUUGUUUAAAUCACGGUAGUCAACACACAUUCUGACCUUACCAUCCUUCUUUGGAACAGGCACUAUGUUAGCUAACCACUGGGGGUAAUUUGAUGUGAUGAGGAAACCAGCGUCGAUCUGUUUCUGUACCUCUUCUUUGAUUUUGAGAGCCAUGUCAGGACGUGUUCUUCUCAACUUUUGUUUGACUGGCGGACACUCAGGUUUCAAAGGUAGGUGAUGUACCACAAUAUCAGUGUCUAGACCCGGCAUAUCUUGGUAGGACCAGGCAAACACAUCAACAUAUUCUUUGAGGAGCUCUAUUACUUGCUUUUUAACACUUGUUCCGAGCGAUGCCCCAACCUUGAUUUCUUUCUUGUCUUCUUUGGUGCCCAAGUUAAUCACUUCUAGUUCGUCCCCAUAAGGCUGAAUGGUCUUCCUCUCUUGUUCGAGUAGUCAAGAGAUUUCGUCAGGGAUCUCUUCAUUCUCUUCUUCCUCCGCCUCAUACACAGGGAACUCAAAGUUGGGAGAGAUCAUAGGGUUAUGUUGUUCAACGGGUUCGUCGAUUUCUAAUCUGCACAUGUGAUGGAUGAUUUUUAGAAAGAAGAUACAUGCAGAUUUUUUUGAAAAUUCAUGUUGGGUUUUUUUGUAUUACCACUUUUCAGAAAAGCAUAAAAGAAAAUGAGACAAAACAUCGGGAAAAAAAACGACGUUUUUAUUUUAUUGAUGAUAAUUUCUUGAAACAAAAAGCCCUAGAUAAGCUCACUUUCACUUGGGGCGGGGCGAAAGGAUGUUUUUUUUUUGAAAAGAAAAGCAUAAACUAGACAAAUGCAUUACUUGGACAAGUGAGCAACAAAAGGGACAUCUACAGCAACCCAAUUGUGGCUGGAUACUCCUGGCGUUAUAAAACCUCGUGGCACACUUUCAGGAUCAUCUUCAAUGAUUGCAUGGAUAAAGCCCGAACUGUGGAAAGUGCCCUUCUUUGCUGUGGACAAACUAGUAGAUGGGAAGAAACCCAAACCUUCUCGGUGCUUGUUUUCUGGAAGCUCUAUCAGCUUUCCCCAGCUUGUGGACCCCCCUGCUUGUAUGACCUUCUGAGCAUCUUUCAGAGACGAGAUAGAGGCUUCAUUCCUCUUGGUAUUCUUAUCUUCUAUAGUAAACCCUUGAAAAGGUGUCCCUUCGACAUCGUCUGCCCCAAUGAAAGAGAAAGAUGACAAAUGACUCACCAAUAAAGCCUCUUCACCGUUUACAGUUACUAGCUUCCCAUUCUUCACAAACUUCAGCUUUUGAUGCAGCGUGGAGGUGACAGCCCCUGCCUCGUGAAUCCAGGGUCGACCCAGUAGGCAACUAUACGAAGCUUGAAUGUCCAUGACUUGAAAAUUAACUUGAAAAACUUGUGGCCCAACUGUGAUAGGUAGAACCACCUCACCAAGGACAUCCUUCCUCGAGCCAUCAAAUGCUUUCACCAUUACCCCACUUCGUCUCAAAGGUGCGUCUUGGUAAGCGAGUUGGGUAUAAGUUGUUUUGGACAAUACAUUCAAAGAUGAUCCAGUAUCCACCAGCACUUUUGACAAAGCAUCGGUUUUACAGUUCACAGAUAUAUGCAGCGCCCGAUUAUGGUUCCUUCCUUCUGCUGGGAGCUCUUCAUCACUGAAACUCAAGUUGUUGCAUGCAGUGAUGUUCCCUACUAUUCCGCCAAACUGACCCACCGUUACAUCAUAAUCCACAAAAGCUUGUUCUAAAACCUUCAUUAAUGCAUCUUUAUGGGCCUCAGAAUUUAGUAAUAAAGACAUUAUGGAUAUUUUGGAUGGAGUCUGCAUCAAUUGGUCAACAACCUUGUACUCGCUCUUCUUUAUUAACUUGAGAAUCUCAUCAAACUCUGCACUUGUACCAGCCCCAUUGGGUUGAUCCACUUCUUUGGCGAUACCAGCAUCUUUAGUCCGAACCUCCUUAUUUAUUGUAGCAUCAAUCUUCUUUGGGAACACUAUGGGAACAACGCGCCCAUUUCUCAGAACUCUACUGUCUUCGACAAUAUUAUUCACACUAGAUAGGGGCGGUAUUGGAACCUCACGACCCUCUUCAAUCAUGGUGGCAUUGUAUUUGUAUGGAAUGGCUUUUUCAGAAGCAUAUGGCAGUGGACCCGGUAAGCAGAUCACCAGAGGGGUGAUAGUUGACUUUCGACUGUCAUAAAAUACCUCCAAAGGUCCUUCGGGAGUUAUUACACACACAUCAUCACACUUCCUUUCGACCACAAGCUCUCCUCGGUCUAGAAGCCCUUGAAUAUCAUUUCUUACUUUCUGACAUCCUCCGGAGUUCAUAAGGCAUAUUUCACAGAGAUCAUGAUCAUGCUCAAAAAGGUCGACUUUGCAUAACUUGGCAUGUAACGGGACCAAGGGUGUUCUGAUAUGUUGAACAUUCAGAAUGGGACGAGUCUUUUGACAAUCUUCGAUCAUGUUGACUGUUGCGGCACCAUGAUUCGGCAAUGGGUUUGUUUGGACAUUUGGCGCCGAGUCUGUGAAAGUUAUUUUUCCAUCAUUGAUCAACCUCUGCACUGUGCUUUUAAAGGCAUAACAAGUUUCAAUGUUAUGGCCACGGCCCCCUUCAUGGAAGUCACAAGUUUGGUCAAGUCUAUACCAAGAUGGUAGUUUUUCUGGGAUAGGAGGAGCUGUUCUAGUUUGGACAAGGUUUUUCUUGAGUAAGCCGGGAAGUAAUUCUGCAUAGGUGACUGGUAUUGGGUUAAUCGGCAUUCUUGGUGGUCGCGGUUGUUGUGGGCGUUGUUGAUAAGGUUGUUGUUGGAAAUUUUGUUGAGGGUAUUGUUGGUAUGAGAAUUGUUGGUAUGGUUGUUGUUGGUAUGGUUGUUGUUGGAAAUUUUGUUGUUGGGCAUUUUGUGGUGAAGGAUUUUGUGGGAAUUGAGGAUAUUGUGGUAUUUGAGGAUAUUGUGGUUUUUGAGGAUAUUGUGGUAUUUGAGGAUGGUUAUUUGUUUGUUGAAAAGGGUGAGAGGUGGGUGUGAUGGCAGCAAUGUGUUGAUAGGCUGGAUAAGUUUGUUGAGGCCCUCCAUGAGUCACCAUACCGACUUCUUGUUCUUUCUUCCUCGGGAAAUGGUUCCCGGUCUUCUUGGUCCCACUGGCAGGAGUUGUAUUCUUUACUAAGCGUCCUUCUCGGACUCCUUCUUCUAACUGGACUCCCAUACCAACCAUCUCCGCGAAGCUCUUUGGUGUACUCCCGACCAUCUUUUUGUAAUAAAAAUGAUUCAAAGUUUUUAGGAAGAGCUUGGUCAUCUCUUUCUCCUCAAUUCGUGGGCUGACUUGGGCAGCGGUGUCUCUCCACCGUUGGGCAUACUCUUUGAACGUCUCUUUAUCUCCCUGAGUCAUGGCUUGGAGAUCACUUCGGUCCGGAGUCAUGUCUACAUUGUAACUGUACUGUUCCACAAAAGCUUCACAAAGGUCACGGAAAGUUUGAACCCUUGUUUUGUCUAGGUUUGUGUACCACUUUGAAGCAGGGCCGGUCAAGCUUUCUUGGAAGUAGUAAAUAAGAAUCUGAUCAUCCUGGGCAUACGCAGGCAUCCUUCUCACAUACAUUUUUAGAUGUUCCUCAGGACAAGAACUUCCUUUGUAUUUCUCGAAAUCUGGGAUCUUGAAUUUGUGAGGUACCUGCACACUCGGUACCAAACAGAGAUCGUACGCAGUCUUCCCAAAUUUCCCUUUUUCACGGAGGGCUUUCAUGUCUCGGCGUAGUUCAUCAUACUUUUCUCGUAGGUCGCUUACUUCCUCGUAAGCCUCUACAUUCCCUGAAUGAAAGAUAGGUUCUUCAGUUUGCGGGAUUGUAUGUAUCACAGGUGCUGAGUAGGUCAUGGUGGCUGGAGUGACCCUCAUGGCAGGUAGGGGUACUUGAGCCGUGUACUGGUGAGUGGGCAUCUGAGCUUCACAAGUGAUAGGACGAAAUAUCUCUCCAGCAGUGAAAGGUGGAAACCAAGGCGUGGAACGUUGCGGAGCGGACUGCGUUGGAGUGUCAGCACAUAGUGUCCAAGAAGAAGAUGCCUCGGCCUGAGUUCUGAUAGGAGGAGGAGGUGGAGGUGCUUGUGAUCGGGCCUGCGCUUCUGUUACGGCCUGAGCUUGAGUUUGCGCUUGUGCCAAUGCUUGCGCUUGUGCUUGAAUCUGUGCUUGAGCUUGAGUCUGAGUUUCUGCCAUUGUUUUUAUUAAUUCAGCCAUCUCGUCCAUCCUAGUCUGCAUGACUGUCAAUUCUUCACGAAUUACCCGAUUUUCCUGCUCAAGAUAAUCCAUCUUCUUCUUUACGUUUGCUCGAGUGUAGUGAGUACGGGUUGACUUGUAGAUGAUACGUGGGGCCACCUUUUGAAACGAGUUGACCUUUUUCUUUCUGGAAAAGAAAGUUUGUGUGAGACUUUGACUUGAGACUAUGAAAUGCAGGAUGAUGCAUGAUUUUUAUGCAAAAAUAUAGACGUAUUUUUUUAUCGAAGGACUUAUAGAAAGUAUUUUUGUAAAUAUCAUAGUUGAGAAUUCCAUUGAAUAAUUUGCAUACUACGAGAUAAUUCCCUUUCUAAAUAAAAUAAGAUAAAUAUCUAACUUAAAGCUAAGAAAAAGAAAAACUAGGAACUCUCAAGCUCUUUGAAGUGGACUAUUCAUCGGAAUCUGAAUGUGCAUCCUUGAAGAAUUCCCAACGCUCCCCUGCGCUGAUAAAUUGUGAUAGCCUUGUGCUCUGAGCUCGGAUCUGAACAUUCUUUUUUACUAUUUGUCGUCUCAACUUGUGAACCUCAUGCUCUCGUUGCUCUAUCUCACCACUCAUAGUUUCCAUCUUGAGCAUAGCUUCAUCAUACUUCCUUUUCCAGGUAGCACCCACACAUUCCGAUCGGGCCAACUUCUCUUGACAUUCCUCCACAGUUGCGGGGGCCAAGGGUAAAGCCGGCGCUGGGGUUGUUGAAGAUAGGUACCUCGGCAAAUGAUAUGGUAAGACCAGAUCGGAAGCUCUAUUGAUGACCCAUUGAGUGUAAGACCCCUGUAAAGAGUCUGAUCUCCUCGCCAACUGGCUUCUAUUGAGUGUGCGAAUGGCAUGCCAUGCUUGGACAAAUCUCCCUCUUUUGUUUGAGGGAUCUUCAUGGUUGAAGUAGAAUUCACCCUGUAAGUAGAUGUUAUCUGGCUUAGCUUCCAUUGGACAUCCGAACUGACGUUUGGCAAGGAUAGGAUUGUAGCUGAUUCCUCCUUACGUACCGAGAAGGGGUACAUUUGAGUAUUCUCCACAACUGACAAUGAUGUUCGUGAAGUUACAAGUGGCACGGUACCAGGUUAUGUCGGAUGGGGUAAGGGACAUGAUUCUUUUGGGCCAGGAGAGAUUUUCUGGGUUGGCUUGAAAGGAGUGGGUCUGAGGUAAGUGAGAGGUAAACCAUUUGUAUAGUAAGGGUGCGCAACCAAGGAUAGCUCCGCGACCUACUUGGGUUCGAUCGUGAAUGGAAUGAUAUAUAUCAGCUAACAAUGUGGGGACUGGGUUCUUUGUGAGGAAAAUUUGGAUGGCAUGGAUGUCAACAUAGUUAUCAAUAUUUGGGAAUAAUACUAGGCCAUAGAUGAGUAAAGCUAGGAUAGAAUAGAAGGCCUCAACAUUGUUUGUUUUGGAGAAAUCGGAGGCUUGUUGGUAAAGAAAUUUAGUAGGUAAGCUUGGGAAAUUCCCUUUUAGGGUGAGUUUUUCUUUUAUGAGAGAGGUUUUGAGGUGGAGGGCGUUUGCAAUAGUGGCAGCUUUGGGAAAGGGUUCUAAGCCAGUGAAAGGUACCUUAUCAAGUACGGGUAGGCCAAUUAAGUGAGAGUAUUCUUCGAGGGUAGGCAUAAGCUGGUAGUCGGGAAAGGUGAAACAGUGGUAAGCAGGGUCAUAGAACUGGACCAAGGUCUCCAAGCACCCCUUAUCGAUAUUUGUCCAGAGGACACCAAGCAACUUCCCAUGACGAUCACAAAAAUUCUCCAAGCUAGUUACUUCAAAUGCAAGCUUCUUUAAGUUCUCUAGAUCCAAUUUCCUGAAUGUAAACUUCCUAGUAUUUCUUCUUUCCAUGCCUUUGAUAUUUACAAAAACAAGUAUAAGCCCUUCGAUAUUUUUUGAUGAAAAAAGAUAAAAUUAUGAAUGAAUGCAUGUAUGCAUGAUUAUGCGUAGGUUAAGCUCAUCAUGUUGGAGUUUAAAGGUAAUAACCCCCAUUUGGUAAGGACUAUGGUUUCAUUUGUACCUGUAUUACGGGUUCUAUCCAGUUCCCAAAGUCAUCAACUACCUCCGAAUGUUAUCAGGUUACAAGACUACUCUUGAUCCAAUAAUAUCCGUAGGAAAGUUUCAUUUGAGUGUAGUAUCGCGUAUCAACUAAUUCAAGACUACUCUUGAUUAGCCACCGCACUACGUCCUAAAAAGGCUAAGAUGGGUUAAGGGUAACUAAAGGUCCUCAACUUCGACGGUCACUUGAAAAUAUAAUGCCAACACGACUAUUCAUGCCAACAUAGAUUACUUUCAAGAUUCCUCCAUUGAGUGGGGUUGUACCACAUGAACCUAAACACGAGACUUGACUCUCGGAAAGGCACUUUGGUUAUACCACCGUCCUAUCUUAUGUUUCUCUCAAGCCCGGGUGUAGGGCUUUAUCUCACCACUCAUAUUUAAAAAGAAAGGAAGAAAGAGAGAAGAUAAAGGAUAUAUACAAUUAUUUCCAUCUUUAUUUUUUGUUUUUGUUUUAAGCAAGUUAUAGCACAAAGAAUUAAAUAAAGCCAAGUUAGGCUCAACCCUCUUAGGGGGGGUCCCCAGUGAAGUCGCCAUUUCUGUCGCGUCAUUUUUUGGAGAUCAAGGCUAUUUGAUUAGCUUUUGACUCACUAAUUAUUUCACGACUGAACAUUUAAUUUUAUUAAGAAAAGGGGAAAAAAGUUCAAAUUACCCCUAUUUGAAAAGAUUUAGGGUUCGGGGGUUAGUUACAUAAAGGGAAGGUAUUAGCACCCUCUAUGUCCGUAGUACUCUACGGGAACCUCUUGGUUUUAUUUAAUUUAAUGUGCUAUAACUUGCUUGCUUUUGAAAAAGAAGUUAAUGUGAUGAUUAAAAGAAAAAGAAAGUGAGACCUAAUUUAUCUACAUUUUUUAUUGUUUGGAAGGACAUGGUCCUCUGCCUACGUACCCGUGAAGGAUCAAAACCUCGUAGUUCGGGGUAGAAAACGACGUUUGAUUGGUUUUGUGUUUUUUAUUAGUUUUUGAAAAAAGGUUUAAAAAAUAAAAGCCAAGUGGCAAAUAAGAAUUUGUUUGUGUUUUUUAUUAAAAAAAGAUAACUCGAAGUAUGAUUAAAUUGAUUGAUAUUUGAUUAAGAAAAUAAAAUGAAAAAAAGGACGAUCACUUGAUUUAGGAUCAAGGUUUAUUAUGAAAAAAUGUUUUUUGUGAUUUUUGGUUAUUUGCAUGUUUUUUUUUGUGAUUUUUGGAUAAAUAUAUAAACUAACGGAGCAUAAAGAAUAAAAGCGCGGCUACCCUAAGUUAGAAACGUAAAAUCUAUGACUAUUACAUAAAAAGCCUAUUUACAUUCUAAGGUCUGCAAUAAAAAUUAAAAUGCUAAAAAUAAAUAAACAAAUACGAAAAGGAAUAAGGAAAAAUAAAAAAAAAAUGGUCCAAACACAAGGUGGGGUGCAGUAGUAAAUAGGGGUGUGCAGAAAGCAAAAAAAAAAGAAUUGGGCUUUAAGGAAACGAACCGGGUCGCGGGUCGUGGGUCAUGGGCGACCCGGUUUGGGGGAUAUAUAAGGGUUGUAGGGUUUUUUCUUUCAUUUUUCAUUUUUCUUUCUCUCUCUUAUCCCUCAAAUCCUCUCUUCUCUCUCUACUUCUUUCUUCUUCUCCGGUUGGAGAUGGGGCGGCCGGGAGAAGUCCGGCGCGGUGGCCGGCGAGCCAUCGCGGCUGCGCCGCCGCGCCGGAGCUAAAAAGCUCCUCCUUUUUUUGAUUUUUUUCGCUCUUUCUCUUCUACUUCCCUCCCUCUGUUCACUUCUAGCCUUCAAGUUCCCAAAACCUUUACCCAAACGCCUAGAUCUAAAAAAAAGAAAGAAAUUUAUACCUUUUGUUUAAGAAAUGGAUUCGGCUUUCUUGUGGCCGGUUCUGUGAUGUGAUUGUCGCUGUUGUAACGGUUUGCGCGCCUCUGUGUGUGCGUGUGUGUGUUGUGUUGCGCGCGGCCGUGUUUCCGUUUCUAUGCGUGCUUCUCUGGUUCCUGUUGUGCGAUUUUUGUUUCUUAUGCGCGUCUCUCUGGCUUCUGUUGUGUGUUGUGUUGCGAUGCCGUCCUCUGUUUCUUCGUGUUUUUCUUUGUUGUGCGGGUCUCUAUUUAUAGAGUGAGUUUGAGGCUAGGGUUUGUUACUGAUGAGCAAAAAAAGCAGUGGCUUGUGGAGGAGAAAAAGGGAAACGCGUCUGUUUUAUUGGAUUUGUUUCAGAUGAGGCGUGAAUCCGGAUUUGGAUUAGAACAGCAUAUGCGUGAUGCUGUUAUCUUGAACCUGGACUUUUUGGAUUUUGGACUUUUUGGACUUAAAAAGAAAAAAUAAUUAAAAGGAUAAUAUCUACAUUUUUGGUUUUAAAUAAAAAAGAAAAAUUUUUAAAAUGGGAAUAAAAGAAAUUUAAUCUAACUUGGACUAAAAUUAAAAUUAGAGUUCUAAAUUAAAAGAUGGAAAUAAAUAAUUAAAGACUGAGAGAAGAGGGCCCGAUUCGGAACUUUAUGAGGUAUUUCAAAAUACCUCCCUGCCGAAUUUUUUACUGAGACGUGAGACCGAUCAGGUUUAAAUGGCGUGUGUCAGUGAGAUCUUGGGUCAAAAAUUGGGGUAUGACAAGUACCAUGUAGAAGAACCCAAUUCUCCCAAUCUUUGUUCGUGGAAGAACGUGAAUUGUUUGAAGAUUCAGAAUAAUUCUUUACCUCGACAUGUGAAAAAUGAAAUGAAUUACGAUCCUUCUGCUUCUUAGCAUGAUUCUUUAAUACAUUCAAAACCUCUUUUCUAUCUUUGACUGGCAUCCUUGCUACUCGUUUCAAGUUAUGGACCGGAUGUUUAAGACCUCGCUCGACCUUCCUCUUUCUAACCAGAUACGGUUGUGGAACCUCCUUGGUGUGACCUUUAUUUAAUUUUGAAGAAAAGAUGAUUCCAACAUCACCAUGGGAAAUAUGAGUGAGCCAUUCAAGACUCCACGUCCCCGUAUGUAUUGAACGACACCGAUUCGGCGUACAAGAAUUAGCAUGUGUUGAUUUAUUCUUCACAUUCACUGGCCAACCAUGAGAAGUUUCCUUAGCUGCUUGAAUGGGAUUGGAAACUGGAACAUUAAUCUGAUCCAUCGCCUCAUCCAAGUGUCCGUGAGUAUACACCGCCUCCUCGGACUUCCUGACAUCUAAAACCGGCUUCUGCUCACCAAUAAAAGAAGCAUCUUCAGCUUGAGGAUUUUCCUUAGAACACCAAUCCUUAUGAAGAUCAUUGACUAAAACCUCCAUCUCCCCUAGCACCUCAUCCAAUUCCGGAACAUCAUUAAAAUCAGAUACCGCAUCCUUCCUAGACUCAUCCAUAUCUUCUUAAAAAAUUGUAUCCUCCCCGAGGCAACAACCCCACUCCUCCUCCAAAUUCAAAGUGUAAUUGAGACCUCCACAAGGAUAUCCCUUGACGUAUUCACUACUUCCAAAAGGGGAGUAGAAAUGAGAAUACGUGCAAAAUCAAGCCUCGCCUUAUCCACCGUACAAUUGUCGACCCAAAUAAAUCUGCUACAUUCUGAAACACAUAAUUUGAAAAACGAUUCGUUCCAUGCAUGAAUGGGAGUACCAUACACAAGGAUCCACUCUCCCCCAUUCAUACCGAGCAUCUAACAACGUACAUUUAUGCAAAUAAAAAAAUAGCAUGCUAAAGAAGUCAAUAGCGUCAUUGAACACUUGUAACAUAUCGUCCGUUCCUAAGCAAUGCAAAAACACUUUAUGACCACCCAUAGGCGUAACCACGACGUUGUGGAAACUGGCAUCCUUGACCCGUUGUUGUAAGUCUAACGAAGAAUCCCCCUUCACCAACGUCGCAACUAAACACGCAGAUACCCAAGUAUGAUAGUCAGUAGCUAUUUAAUACACAGGUUUUUGCCGUUGUUCUGGUUGAACAGACUUGCAUUGCAUGGGAACCUCCUCUGUCGCCUUAAGAAACACCUUUCCUUCCACCUCCCUCUGCUCUUGUUCCACUCAUGUGCCAUUAGCCCCACAUGCGUAACCUCUCUCUUGCGGUUUCACCACCAUUGUAACACCCUUACCCUCCUUCUUCUUCUUUGACCUUCUUCUCUUCUUCCCUCCCCCCACCCCAACACUAACCUCCACCUGACCAACACACGCAGUACUGACUCCCUCGCCUUUCCUUCCCUUAUCGCCCUCCCCAGCUACCUCCUUCCCCUUCCUCUCUGUUUUUAUCUCGCUUCUCUUUUUGAUUCAUGUACUUUCUUUUUUUUCUCCCUCACCCCUCACAAUUAUCAUCGGCCUCACCUUCCUCCUAUCCUCCUCAACCCCACUGACAUUGUUAUCAACCAGUGUUUCCAUGUCAAACCUCGCGAAGGAGUACUUCAAAAACAUUUAAUUUAUUUUAAAAAAACAUUUAAUUUAUUUUAAAAAAAAAUUUACAUUGUUUGUAAUUUUAAAAACAAAAGUGAGUCUUCACCUCCCUUCCCUCCUAAACCCUCAAUACAAACACACCCUAAAGAUCAGUUUGGUUCAACGUAGGGGAUGAGAGGGGAUGGAUUUUAAUGGAGGAGGGAGAAAGGGAGGGGACGGAAUAUGAGGUAUUUUAAAUAAAUAUAUGUUUGGUUCGAAAGAAUGGAGAAAUUUUAAUUAAAAAUGUGUUUGAUUCAUAAGAGGAGGGAUUUUAAAAUUAAUUUACUGUUUUACCCUCAAACUUAAUUAAUAUACAAAAAUGUUUGUUUUUACGAUUUCAUAGACCGACAAAAGAUAAAAAAAAAAAAAAAAAAAAAUCAUCUAAUAAUAAAAGUUGUUAAAGGAAUAAUAUAACCUAAGAAUAGUAAAAUUAUUACAAGGAUGAGGAAUACUAGAGUCACACCCUCUAACACACUCCAAUAAAAAUUAGCCACUUCAUCCACUCUUUUAUUUCCUUUACCUAUUAACCUGUUGAACAGGUUGACAAACCCUUCUACUUAUUUUUUUUUAUUUUUUAAUAAUUUCUACAUUCAAAUGUCUCACACGGCGAUCCUGCCAGCCAUCGUCUCUGUCUCAUGCUCUUUUGGUCAUUUUCUCAAACAUCUUUAGUCCCCAUAGUUGAUUCCAAUAAAACUCAUUUGCAAUCCCAUCAAAUUGGAAUCAAAGAUUAAAAAUAUAUAAUGAAAAUAGAAUUAAAAUACAUUAGUUUGAGCUAACUUUUUCAUCACUUAUUUUACCCUUCAUUUAAACUAUUUUCUUUACUAAUUUAUCCUUUAAUAAUAUUAUUUUAAAUUUUAAUUUAAAAAUUAAAUUCUAUUAAAAUAGGAAAUAUCCCACUACGAUAGGGAUUUAUAUUAUAUUUGUUAAAUUAUUGUUGUUAUUGAAAAAGAAAAACAUUGUUUUUUGGGUUUGUUACUAUUCGAAGUCAUAAAUAUUUGUAUCUAUAAGGUAAAUUAAAAUCAAAAUUUCAUAAAAAAUACUAUUCAUAAUUUAGACGAGUUAAGGCAAUAAAAGAGCGGAAAAACAGGAACGUGAGUGUCCAUUUUUCGCUAGUGAUAAUAAAAGUGGUUACAAGGAUAAUAUAAUGAGUAAAUUACACUCUCCUUCCCUGACACAAGCUUGAAUUGCACUCCUCUCCCCUCUUAUGUUAAAAUAUACACUCCCCUCCCCUCUUAUUCAAAACAUAUUAGAAAUUUUUUCACACCCCUCCCCCAAGAGAAGCUUGAAUUACAUUCCCCUCCCCUCUUAUGUUAAUAUCUACACUUUACUCCAUCAAUAUAUUUUUUUUAUUUCUAAUAAUCUAGAAAAAUAAAUAAAAAUCUAACAUACUUCAUAAAAUAAUUGGUUUCAAUUGCUACUUUGUGGUGUCUCAUGGCUUUUAAUUGAUGGCAUACAACACCAUUGGUUUUUUUAAUUGAUUAAUACAACCUUGUUCAGCAACAAAAUAAUUGAUUCACACAACCUUUGUAAUGGCAGAAAACACCAAAUAUGAGAUUAAACAAACAAAUUAACAAGAUGUUAUAGGUUUGUAAUGGCAGAAAUUCACGCAACCUUUUUAAUGGUCAUACACUUGCGUAACAUAAGAUGUCAUAGGUUUAUUGAAAACUAACAAACUUUUUUUUGAGGAAAUGAAAAACUAACAAAUUAUUCACAAGAAAAUAAAGAGAGAACGGAUAAUUGUUGAAAGAAAUAUCGAUAGCUGAGCAAGGAUCAAAAACUUUCAAUAUCUGGAUAUGCAGAAUUGAGAUGAGAAUUACAAUUGUUAAUCAAUUAUUAUGAAUUAAUGACAGCCAUUAACACCCCACCUUAACAAUUAUUAUGAAUUAAUGACAGCCAUUAACACCCCACCUUAACAAUUAUUAUGAAUUAAUCACAACCAUUAAUUAUUUUUAAAAUGAAGAAUCUAGAUUUGGAGUAAGUGUUUAGAGUUACUCUUGGAGUCAAUGAUCUCUUCUCAUAAUAAUAGAAGUUGUUACAAAUAACAUAUUAUUAAUAAAAGUUGUUACAAAGAUAAUAUUAAAAUUUUAAAUUAAUCUAAAAAUAAUUUUGCCAAUGCAAUAAAAUUUUAAAGCAAUCAUUUCUCCUCCUUUCAAAAAAAACUCCAAUUUGAGAGAAAGAAAAAAGUGGGUCUCGAAGGGAUUUUGCUUCUCUCCUCUUCUAAAAAUUGAAUCAAACAUGUUAAAUUAAAAAUAUUAUCUCCCCUCCCCCCAAAACUCUCGAACCAAAUGAAACAAUAAUAUCUACCAAAGCUUGUUUUGUGGGUUCAACUUAGUUGUAUCAUCGUCUUAAAGAAUGGUUGUACACACAAUUUGUGAUAACUUUUUUUUUUUCUUUUUUAUUGAUUAAAAAACAAGAGAGUGAGAAAUAAAUAGAGAAAAUGAAAGAAUUUUUUUUUCAAAAUUUGUCACAAUACAUAAUUGUACCAACUUGAUAAUGAUAUCCCACCUACCAGGCUACCACUAAAAUCAAAGUGAGAGGAGACGACUUUUUUGUUAUUCUUACACUUUCAUUUUGGUAGUUUUAAUUUCUUGAGAAGCAACUAAUGGCAGAUAGUCUGAAGGAAACACUCCUCGCAAUCUCAACUUCUUUAAAGGUGUUGUUAGACAAGCUUGUUGAGGAAAACAUCCGCAGCACGAAGCUUGACGUUUCACUCUUGAAAAAUUUCAAGUCAACGCUGCUGAAACUUCAAGUUAUAGUUAAUUAUGUUGAGAAGAAACGGAUCACCACCACUGUACGGCAUUGGCUGGAUAGGCUGAGGUAUGAUGCCAUAGAAAUUGUCCAUUUGUUUAACGAAAUCAACACUGAGGCUCAUGUGCUGAAUGUUCUUCCUAUUCAUUUCAAACGCUCUUACUUGCGAAAAUUAAUUGAAAAAUUUGAAGGCUGGAGUUCUGGAGAACAGCUAGGUAAAUUAGGUGAAUGGAAUGGAACUCCUCCUUCACUUUCUCUUCUGGUUGAUGAAUCUCCUAUACAACUCGUCUCACUCUCAGCUUCUGUGAAGGUGUUGUUAAACAAGAUUGUUUCUAGUCAGUUCGUCGACAACUUCCACAGCACUAAACUUGAUGUUUCACUCUUGGAAAAGCUUAAGACAAUACUGCUCAGGGUUCAAGCUUUAUAUCAUAGCGAUGAUUUUCUGUGGGUUCAAGCUAAACUUUUUAACGAUGAUUUUAAGACAACACGGUUGGAUUUUCAAGAUGAUGACGUGAUACUUACUGUAUUGCUUUGGCUGGAUAUGUUGAGAAGUGCUGUCUUUGAAGUUGGCUAUUUGUUGGAGGAAAUCAACCCUCAGACAUUGCCUUGCAAAGUGGAAGCAGAGUAUCAAACCCUAACUACUCCUUCUCAGUUUUCUUCUUCUUUCAAAUGCUUUAAUGGAGUGACGAAUUCUAAAUUGCAAAAAUUAAUUGAAAGAUUACAAUUCUUUAGUUCACGAGCACAAGAUCAAUUUAGUGGUUCCAGUUCCAAAAGUGUUUGGCAUCAAACUCCUACAAGUUCUAUUAUGGAUGAUGAAUCUUGUAUUUAUGGAAGAGACAAUGAUAUAAAGAAACUUAAACAUCUUUUGUUGUCUAGUGACGGUGAUGAUGGUAAAAUAGGAAUUAUUUCCAUUGUGGGUAUUGAAGGGAUUGGUAAAACAACCCUUGCUAAGGUUCUUUACAAUGAUCCCGAUGUUAAGGAUAAAUUUGAGUUAAAAGUGUGGUCACAUGUUUCAAAAGACUUUGAUGAUGAUUUGCAUGUUUUGGAAACCAUUCUUGAUAACUUGAAUAUAAACAGAAAUGAAACAAGUGGCGUAAAUAUCAUUUACCCAAAAUAUUUGCUAGUAUUGGAUGGGGUAUGUGAUGCAAGAUCUAUCAAUUGGACAUUAAUGAUGAAUAUCACUAAUGUUGGUGAAACAGGAAGUAGGAUCAUCAUCACAACACAGGAUGAAAAAGUUGCACUAUCAAUACAAACCUUUGCACUACCCAUGCGAACCUUUCUUUCUGUCCACUACUUGACACCUUUGGAAAGUGAAGAUUGCUGGUCUUUACUUGCCGGGCAUGCAUUUGGAGAACAUAACGACCAACGCCAAUCCAAUCUAGAAGAAAUUGGCAGAGAAGUUGCAAAUAAAUGUUAUGGAUCACCAUUUGCUGCAGUAGCACUUGGGGAUAUUCUUCGCACCAAAUUGUCCCCAGAUUACUGGAAUUAUGUGCUACAAAGUGACAUUCGGUUAUUGAUAGAUCAUGAUGUUCGACCUUUUAUACAACUGAACUAUCACUAUCUUUCGACUCUUUUAAAAAACUGCUUUGCAUAUUGUUCAAUUUUUCCGAAGAAGUCCAUCAUAGAAAAAAAUUUGGUAGUUCAGUUGUGGAUUGCAGAAGGCUUAGUAGAAUCGUCCAUAAACCAGGAAAAAGUUGGUGAAGAAUACUUUGAUGUACUAGUGUCAAGGUCAUUGCUGCAUCAACAAUCUAUUGGUAAUGAGGAACAAAACUUUGAAAUGCAUACACUUGUCCAUGAUUUAGCUACAGAGGUUUCAUCUCCACACUGCAUCAAUAUGGGCGAACAUAACUUACAUGAUAUGAUACAUAAGCUAUCAUACAAUACAGGUACAUAUGACUCAUAUGAUAAAUUUGGUCAAUUGUAUGGAUUAAAAGAUCUACGUACCUUUCUAGCAUUACCAUUAGAAGAACGAUUGCCUCGUUGUUUGCUAUCAAACAAGGUAGUACAUGAGUUGCUGCCAACAAUGAAACAAUUGCGUGUGUUGUCUUUGACAAACUACAAAAGCAUCACUGAGGUUCCCAAAUCUAUUGGAAAUUUGUUAUACCUGCGGUACUUAAAUCUUUCUCACACUAAGAUUGAAAAGUUGCCUAGUGAAACAUGCAAGCUUUACAAUCUGCAGUUCUUGUUGUUGUCAGGCUGUAAAAGGCUCACUGAAUUGCCAGAGGACAUGGGAAAAUUGGUUAGUUUGCGCCGUCUUGACAUUAGUGACACUGCAUUGAGGGAGAUGCCCACACAAAUAGCCAAACUAGAAAAUCUUGAAACUUUGUCUGACUUUCUUGUCAGCAAACAUACUGGUGGAUUGAUGGUUGGAGAGCUAGGAAAGUAUCCUCUUCUAAAUGGAAAACUUUCCAUCUCACAACUACAAAAUGUCAAUAACCCUUUUGAAGCAGUUCAAGCCAAUAUGAAGAUGAAAGAACGAAUAGACAAGUUAGUUUUAGAAUGGGCUUGUGGUAGUACUUGUUCAGAUUCACAAAUUCAGAGUGUUGUACUUGAACAUUUGCGACCCUCAACAAAUUUGAAAAGUCUCACCAUCAAAGGCUAUGGGGGAAUCAACUUUCCGAAUUGGUUAGGUGAUUCGUUAUUUACCAACAUGAUGUAUUUAAGGAUCUCGAAUUGUGGUGAUUGUUUAUGGCUUCCACCCCUUGGACAAUUGGGUAAUCUGAAAGAACUCAUUAUUGAAGGGAUGCAAUCCAUACAGAUAAUUGGUACUGAGUUCUAUGGAAGUGAUAGUUCUCCUUCAUUUCAACCAUUUCCCUCCUUGGAGACUCUACAUUUUGAGAAUAUGCAAGAGUGGGAAGAGUGGAACUUGAUUGGAGGUAUGGAUAAGUUUCCUAGUCUAAAAACUUUGUCACUAAGUAAGUGUCCAAAACUGAGAUUAGGAAACAUACCUGACAAAUUUCCUUCUUUAACUGAACCUGAGUUGAGAGAAUGUCCUCUAUCAGUGCAAUCAAUUCCAUCAUUAGAUCAUGUAUUCAGCCAACUGAUGAUGUUCCCCUUGAAUUCUCUGCGACAGUUGACCAUAGACGGGUUUCCAUCUCCGAUGUCUUUCCCAACAGAAGGUCUCCCAAAAACCUUGAAAAUUCUUACAAUCAGUAACUGUGUGAAUCUAGAGUUCCUUCCUCAUGAAUACUUGCACAAGUACACAUCGCUUGAGGAAUUGAAAAUAUCUUAUAGUUGUAAUUCAAUGAUAUCAUUUACUUUGGGUGUUCUCCCGGUCCUCAAGAGUCUGUUUAUUGAAGGUUGUAAGAAUCUGAAGUCGAUAUUAAUUGCGGAAGACGCGUCGCAAAAGAGUCUCUCAUUUCUUAAAAGCAUCAAAAUAUGGAUUGUAAUGAACUGGAGUCAUUUUCCACAGGUGGAUUGCCCACUAUAAACCUUGUUUAUAUUGCAGUGUGGAAGUGUGAAAAGCUUAGUUCACUACCUGAAGCAAUGAGCUCUCUAACUGGCCUUCAAGAAAUGGAAAUUGAUAAUCUUCCGAAUCUUCAAUCUUUUGUCAUAGAUGAUUUGCCUAUCAGUUUACAGGAACUGACUGUUGGUUCUGUUGGAGGGAUUAUUUGGAAGAAUGAGCCAACUUGGGAACAUCUCCCCUAUCUUUCAGUGUUGCGAAUCAACAGUAAUGAUACGGUGAACAAGCUGAUGGUUCCAUUGCUACCGGUAUCGCUUGUGAGACUAUGCAUUUGUGGUCUUAAUGGUACAAGAAUUGAUGGGAAGUGGCUUCAACAUCUGACUUCUCUCCAAAACCUUGAGAUUGUUAACGCUCCCAAACUAAAGUCAUUGCCAAAAAAAGGAUUGCCUUCCUCUCUUUCAGUACUAAGUAUGACUCACUGUCCGUUACUGGAUGCAAGUUUGCGGAGGAAGCAAGGGAAAGAGUGGCGUAAGAUUGCUCACAUUCCGUCUAUAAUUAUCAACGAUGAAAUAAUCACAUGAUUUUCAUGUUCGGGUGAGUCUCCAUAGUACUUCUUUUUUGUUUCUUCCAUUACCUUCCAUAAUUAAUAUUGUUCAUUUCAAUAAUAACAUCAAAUUACAGUAUUACAACACAAACACUAACUCUUUUUUAAGAAUUAUAUCUGUGUCACUCCUGCUUCUGCCCAACCUUGAUGUUAGGAGAAGUCAUUAUAACUUGGUUUGCAUCCACGACCUGCAACCAAGUCCAGCUAAUGUUUUACUGAUAUGUAUGUACUAUUUUUGUCUAGUUGAAUUUAUAAAUAACUGAAUGGUACUAUUAGGAAUAAUUUGGCAUAAUCUAUAUUAAUACUGCAUGUAUUUUUAAAACUGAAAGCAUAUUCCCAACAAUUGUAUGAUCGAGAGCCUAAACUUUGGUCCUAGGUUUUGGAAUUCACCAUUGCAUGCACCCUUUGUCGGUCAUGUUUCUCUUUCUAUAAACCAUUAUAUUUUCAAACAAUCAACAGAAUGAAGUUUAUUAGCUUUGAAUUUCCGAACUUACAGUCCAAGGAAAACUCAUUACUGAAACCAUUAAACAACAAUUCUAUUUUAAUAGCCUAUUUGACAUACAACGGCAAUUGUUGUUGAAUAGUGCACUUGUUGACCAUAAACUUUUGUCAAUAGAUAAAUUAUAAUUUAGUGAAAGAAAAUGAACAAAACAGAACUUCAGUCCAAACAGGACUUCUUAUGAGGAUUCCUUAUGAUCCUUUUACUUAAGUGUUAUAUUACUUCCUUAUUAUUCAUGUCACAAACAGAACUUAUGUGUUGUUAAUCAAACAUUACGUUUCAGUAGAACAUGAUGUAGUCUUUAGUUCUGUUAAAUAUUCUGGUGUGUUGUUUAACAGAUUCAAGAGAAACAUUUUCUACUUCUUCGGUUUAUUGAAAAUAUGUGUUGUUUUGGCAUGUCUUAUGUUGGGAAAGAGCAUGUAAAAGAUCCUGCACAAAAAUUUAUAGGUAAAAUACUGCUGACCAUCAAAAUUAACUUGGUGGUAUUUUCUGGCCUUUUUUGCAGUAUGAAUCUCCUCCAUGGCAUCACCAAAACGAAGUGCAACUUUUUUUAUAAAGUUUUAACUACAUUUUCAAUUUUACUCAUUUUACAUGUAUGGUCUUAACUCAUAACUAUGAAAAGCAUCCCAAUAUUUUAUUAUAUGUUAUUUUUGCAUAUACAAAAUUACUUAUUCAUGUUAUGCAUCAGUGUUGAUCAUGAUAUGAUCGAUCCAGUUGGCCAGGCUUGACAUGUUCUAGUUUUCCUUGUUCAAAUUUACUUAGGUUUUUAUUAUUAGUGCCUAAAAUAUCGUCCACGCAUAAUUUUAUUUGCUUCUAGUUGGUUAGUGCAUUAGUCUAUUAAAAAUUGAACAACAUCAAACUUGACAUGGAAUCUGUAUUUAUUGUUUCUGUGCUAGGUCUGUGCUUGUUCAACUGAAGUUCGAGGUAUAUCCAAGCCUUCACAGAGAGAGAUCAUCUACAAUAGCCAUGGAAAAUUGAUCUUCGCAUUGAUUUCACAUGAACCAUGCCAGCAAGAGUUUAGUUGAGUAUAGCAACUAUCUACCCAGUUCUGUUAGAGACAUUGCAGAACCAUUUUCUUUUCAUUGCUUUCGAAAAUACACUGAAAUUUGAACCAUUUGCUUGAUCUGUAAAGAUGACCUGAGUUUAAUUAGUAACAAUAAAUCCCAAUAAAGUCAUUGCUAAGUGGCUCAAAAACAGAAUGAAUGAAAUGGCUUGAAUAGGUGAGUUUAUUAAUGCAGUUCCUAUUUCUAUAUAUGCAGAAAACUGAACAAAAUGAAAAUUAUUGAUUUGUGUAACUAGGCACUUCUAUUAGAUGAUUUAUUUACACGUGGUUUUGAAGAAUUCAGCAUAAAAGAAAUGAUUUGUGGCUUAUGUUAGUCCAAUGAAAAACACUCCAGUGAAGAUUUAUAGGCAUCAUAUUCGACACCUCAAUUAGUUGAUCAUCCUCUCAAAUAAAAAAACAUCUCUUGAAAUCUUUUGCCAUUUGAAUUUUGAACCAUUGACGAAAUUUGUCGUUAACUGUAACACCCAUGUCUAAGUAGUGUUUUGGUGGUGUGGAGUCAAAGAAAUGGAACUAUAAAUAUACAAACAGAUUGGGAUCAAUUGACAUGUUUUAUAAGACUGAGUUCUCCCAUCAAGAAACGGUAUCCAUAAUACACCACACAAAAAAAAAGGUACUGCAUUAUAGAAUUGUCAAUUGCUACUAAAUCAUCUAAUUGUCAAUUGCUAGUGGUAUGGGAUACUUGAAAGCAAGUUUAAAUCUGACAUGUUUUAUAAGACUGAGUGGCACUUUUUCUCACAUCAAAAAACGGUAUCCAUAAUUCCAAUAAUGUAGGAAUGACACUAAGGUGGACUGAUUUUGAGAAGUUGCAUUUUUGGACUAUGGAGGAGGUAGGUGUUCGAGACUCUAGAAGUUCGUACAGUUUAUCUAGUUGCUCCUUGGUGAAUGGAAAUGCAUUUGAGGAAGACCGUGACUCUUGAUCAGAAGUAGUUUGGAGUGCAUGACCUUUGGUUGAUGAGUUGAAAAUUGUCUUACCCAUCAUCACCCUUUUCACGUGUCUCUUCUCUUCCGAGCUUAGUUCUAUUCAUCCCCUUCAUUUUUCGAUCCGAUAAACUCAAAAAAUAGCAAGCUACAAUUCGAAGGUUUUUUUUCUUUGGCGAUGGUCAGUACGCGCGUGAACAGUACCUCCGAGUGAAUAGUGCGUGCGUGAAUAAUGUCAGAGAGGUGAACAGUUUUCGCUGGAUAAAAAACGGAAUAACACAAAAAACCGUAGUGACAGCGGCUAGGGUUUAUGCGGAAGCAAGGCCUCCAAAAUCAGGGCACUGAUGCAAUGAAAGAAACAAUAUGGGUGAUAAUGUGAGAGACCCUUUGUUUCAAAUAAGCUGUAAUCAUCCUCUUUGUUUUCUAAGUAGACGUAUAUGAGAGACCACUUUAGAAACAUCUUAGUGGUUAAGUCCUGGUAGGCCAUUCCUCUCUUAGAAUCACAUAUAGCAUGAGAUGUUGCAUCUCACAUAAAAUCUCCACAUAGUGCCACUCAUUCUCUGAAAAUACACCCUCCACUUUGCAUUGUAGAUCACAACAAAGCAGUUGGUUGGUCUUCUUUCUGGUAUAAAAUAUGUAUUCACAUGAAGAAAUAAGUUGCUCAGUGCCAUUGAUGAGUAUAUUCAACUUAAAAUCCAAUACCAUGUUUUCCAAAUGCUUCCCAGGUUCUACAAAACACCAUAGAAAUCUCUAGAUUCUAAGAAUAUCUAAGAAAAAUCUCUAGAUUCUUUUAAAUCAAAAUCUAUUUUUUUUUAAAACUGAAACAAACACACUCAUAGUUUCGUUAUGAAAAUGAACAUUUCUUGACCCAAAGACAUUUUUUUUUUUUAACAAGCAACCCAAGGACAUUAAAUUAAAAUCAAAUGUCAUUGUACUCGAUCCUUAAAUAUUAAGCAUUGUUUGUUCAGUUAAUAGUUCUCUUCUUCAUCAAAAUUUGAAAAGUCUCUUAAUUUAUUUAACACAUGGUUCAAAUCAGUUGAAUUUAGAAGUGUUUAAAUUAAAAAGAGAAACAAAAAUAUGAAUCAAAUAGCAAUGAAAUCGAGGGGGUGGUUCCACAACAUUUCUAAUUUCCGUUUCUUGAAUUUCAUUUUUCAAUCGCAUUUGAUUUCUAUUCGAUUAAUGAAAUCGAUUUAAUUAUUUGUUAGGUUAUAUAUUGAUCUAUUCAUGCCUUUCUCUCUCAAAUUUUCAUUGUGUACUUACUCUCUUUCACUCUAUUGUAUUUGACCAAUGAGAAGAGGGAAGAUUGUCCCUAAAAUUAUCGCAAAAUGGUAGUACAAAUAUAUUACUCAAUUUUAAACCUUAUAUAUCUAGUUCAUUCAUCUAAAGAAAGUACUACUUCACUCAAUAUUAACACCCAAGUAUUGAAAAACUUGAAGACAGAAAAUUUUAACACACCUGUAUUUGCAUCUCAUCUGCAAAACUGGAGCAAUCCUUCCAACAAAGCAUACAGAUAUGACUGAAAUGUCAGAUGGUAAUGCCUCAGCAUUUCAACAUAACCAUGGAUAAUCGACAAGAACAAGAACCAUAAAAUGUUAUGGCCACGUUGUUAAUUCCCCUAAACAUUUAGUUUUACACACAUAGUAAGUGAAACCAUAUAUCAUGAAUACAAAUACCAAAAUUGAUUGCUACCUCCAAUAAUGAUGGACAUACAAUAGACAAACUCAGGAGACAAACUUAGAUGCUGUCAGUUAGAUACACUUGGUUAGACCAUAGUGCAGAUUUAAGAGUUUUUAACAACUUUAAGUAUCUAAAAGAGGAGCAACAAAAAUCACCUGAAAUACAUAAUUUUGGAGAUAAAAAAAAAGAGGGGAAAAAAUGACAUCCAAAACUAAAUAUGGCACAGAAAAACUUUUAAGCCUUCGUCUCCUCAGCAGCGGUUUCAAAAGUCUCCCCGGGGACAAGAUCUGGUACAGCAUCAUCAUCAUCCUCUUGUGCUGCGGUUGCAUCAGCUCCUGCUUCAGGAGCCUGCUUCUGAAAUUGCUCUGCUAGCUUCUUCUGAUUUUCCAAGUUAUCUGGCCCUGCAUUUUCCAGAAAAUAAGAAUAUAAGAUUAUAAAUAAAUUAACACAAAAUAUAAUCUAGAUUUGAUAAGAUGUAAGUCACAUACCUAGUUGGUGAAUGAUGUUGGGGAGAAUAUCCUGCAACUCUGCGAAAGGGAAAGUUUAUUUAAGUGAAAUGUCAGUCCAGCAUGAAAUCAGAUCAAAAUCGAAUGGAACACUAAUGUCAGGUCUCACACUCGAAAUGAGGAAAACAAUGCAUGGUAUGGUACACUGCAAAUUGUACACAUUAAACAAUGAUUCUUAUGAAGCCUACAAUUUCUGAACAUUGAUGCAGACAAAGCUUUUGAUGACUCAUUCACGCAUAAUGUUCAAAGAUGUUAACAGUGUUCUAUGAUAGAUGUUGCAGUUUCGUGUACCACACUAGGAUAUGAAGAAUAAGAUAUAUAUGCUUACUCUUUGUUUGAGGAGAACUGCUAACAACCCAAGUAUUGGCAGCAAUAGAUGCUUGUACUGCAACCAAUUCAAGUUCAACGGUUAGUUUUACUUAGAUCUUAAAAUAAAAUAUAUAAAUAAGUAUCGUGAAUUAAUAUUACCUUUGGCAGGGAUACCAUUCACUCCAAUUCUCUUCAGAGUGCUUUGAAGCCUUUUGUCGUCUGUAGUAGCUGUCUUGUGGACAGCCUUCUUCCUAAAAUGAACAGAAAACAAAAACAUCAACAGAAAAAGAAAAAAAAAAUUAACUGAUACAAUCUUCCUAUCAGACAGAAAUGAUACAUGCACCUCCCUCCCUCAAAUUAAAAAUAAUUAUUUAUACCACUAAAGAAGUCAAUGACUAACACCUCAAAUUAUAUAGCAUGUUCUGAAGAUGCCAGUCAUACUCAUAUGUAAAUGUCUUGUCACAUUCCUAUAGCCAAUACAAGAAAGUUUUUUCCACAUAAGUUUCAAUAGCCAAUGCAAGAACAGUUCUUUCCAAACAAAGACAAUGAGCGUCUGGCAAUUUCAUGUUUGUGUACUAAAAAAUGCCAUCUCCAUUGAGACAAUUUAAUAUUAUUUGCCGUACACACUUGUCUACAUGACGAGAAAUUUAGCUUCACGAUUAUUAAGACGCAAGGUCAACAUUGGUGAAUGUGGAAUCACGAACCGUAGGAUUUUGAGUAUUAUUUGCUGCUUUUGAAUAUGCUGCUCAGUUGAAAAUGAAGAAUCGCAAUUGUUAAAAAACCUGAAAGCAACCUUUUCAUUUUCCGGGUAGACAUAUAUGAGAGUCCAUUGUAGAAUCCUUUUAUUGGUCCAGUCCUGGUAGGCCGUGACUAUCUUAGAAUCACAAGGCAUUAGGUGUUCCAUCUCACAUGAAAUCUCCACCUGGUUCCACUCAUUCUCAGAAAAUGCACCCUCCACUUUGGAUUGUAGUUCACAGCAAAGGAUUUGGUCCAUCUUAUUGCAUGUAUAAAAUAUGUAUUUACAUGAAGAAGUGAGUUUAUUAGUGCCAUUGAUGAGUAGAUUCAAUUUGAAAUCUAACACCAUGUUAUCAAAAUGUUUUUCAGGUUCUGCAAAACACCAUAGACCUACCCUGGGAAAAUUUUUUUUGAACCAAAAACACACUGAUGAUUCAUUGCUUCUGAGCUUAUCCACAUUUACUAUCCUAUGUGAAAUCCCAUAGUGAAACCUUUCUAAAUUUGCUGGAUCAAACAAACUUUGGCUCCACUGAGGACUACAUAUUUCUAUCACAUCGUUGGAGAAUAUAUUACGAGAAUACACAUUAAGGAAGCACUUCCUAUUUUCAUUGUAAACACACAUGGCAUUUGUAAACACUUUUGGACUCACUUUUUCUUCGUCUUCAGAUGAUCGAAAUCCUCUACAACCAUAAGAUGUUAUUAUCUCAAAUUUGGGCAAUAUGUAGCUUGGUAGCAUAAUCAUCCCUUGGCAUCCCCUCAAGAACAAACGUCGGAGCCCAAUCAGAUUCCCAAUUGUAAAAGGCAAUUGUUUUAGGGCAGUCUGGUCUAAAUAAACAUCUUUUAUAUUCUCCAUCACUCCUACUACUUCUGGGAAGCUCUCAAGACGCGAGCAACCUCUAAGAUCUAAAGUCUCUAAAGAUGGCAAGUUGAUGUAGGGAACCAAUAUUUCUAGUUGGGUGCAUCCUUGAGCACUUAAUAACACAAGCCUCUCAAGAAACCCAACCGAGUCAUGGAUUUUAUUUAAAUUAGUGCAGUAAUCAAGACAUAGUGCCCCCAAAUUUGGUACUCUAGAUAAGCUAGGCAUUUCAGUUAGGAGUUUGCAGCCUUCAAAAUCCAGAAAGCUCAACGUCUCAAACACCUACACAAAAAUAAAAAAUAAAAAUAUACAGAUGCGUCAAAUUUUUAAGGUUUCAACUGGACAUAAACACUAGUUCAGAUAUAAUUUCUUGUGUGAAAAGAAUACAUGCCUUGAGUGAUUCGAACCAUUUAAGGCAACUUUCAGGCAGAUUAAGUAUGACAAGAUUCUUAGGAUAAAAAUCAGAUGGCAAAGAGGAUAAUUGAUAUCCACUCCAAUCAAGCACUGACAAACUAUUUGGAAGAAUUUGAGGACCUCUGGAAAAUCCUGCGUUUCUAAUGAUAAGAAUUCUCAAGUUCUUCAUCUGCCCGAAGGCUUUUCCACACCAUUUCACUUUUCUGCCUUUGCGCAAAUCGGCGAUUAUGACUUCAAUUGUAUCAGUUCCCUUUCAAUUCCAAAUCACAAUUCGAACACAAAUUAAAGGUUUAGAAUCUUUCAUAUAUAUAUAUAUAUAUAUAUAUAUAUAUAUAUAUAUAUAUAUAUAUAUUUUGUUCUAUACAAAAAUCUCUAAAUCGUAAUGUCCUUUUCUGCUAGUGGUGAAAAAAUUCAUCAAUCAUUUGUAAUUGAGCAUGGAAAACUAACAGUCCUGUAAACAAACUAAAUACAUCUUAAAGAAAUGUAUACAUAUAACAAAAAAGGGGGGUAUUCUAAUUUUCAUACCUUGUUUUCUUCCAAAACACGAACAAUGUCAUCACUAAACCACAAUCUACUGCGUCUUCCAGGCUCCGACGUUGAUUCCCGCCUCACGAUUUCUCUGCCCAUGCCUUGAAUCAAGUCAUGCAUUCUCACACAACCAUUGAUGUCAAUUUUCAUGAGAGAUUUAUCAAUUAGCACUUGUAUACCAUCUUCCGCUUGAAAACCAUGCAAGUAUAGCAAUUCUUUGACGUAGCUUAUUUCAUAAGAAUUGAAGAAACACGCUAUGUCUAGAAAUAUACCCUUCUCGUCUUCUUCCAAAUCAUCAUAGCUAACUUUAAGAAUUUCGUGGAUGUCUUUACGAAGGACUCGUUUAUAUUUAACUAAUGAGGAUUUCCAUACACCUAAACUUUUUCCAAACAAGUGAGAACCUAUCACUUCCAAAGCCAAGGGAAGACCAUGACAAUAAGAUACUAAACGUUUUGCAAUAUCCACAUAACAUGGAUCAAUUUUUUUAUUUUUAAAUGCAUGCCAACUAAAUAACUCGAGAGCCUUUUCACUUUUUAGUUGUUUAACCUCAUAUACUUUCACAAUUCCAUGAGUGGCUAGCAAAUGCUUGUCCCUUGUAGUGACUAUAACCUUGCUGCCGAAGCCAAACCAGUCAUGUCCUCCUACAAAUGCCUGUAACUGCUGCACUUUGUCAACAUUAUCAAGAAUCAAAAGGACUUUCUUUCUUUGAAGCCUCCUUUUAACUAUUGACAUUCCUCUGUAAACAUCACCUACUUUAAUAUCCUUCUCCCCCAAUAUAUCAGCAAGUAGUGUUUCUUGGAGUUGUGCAAGAUCAUGAUUAAUUUCCCUCUUUCUUAUGUCAUCGAGAAAACACACACCUUCAAACUGAUCAGCAAUCAAGUUAUGCACAGCACGAGCAGUUGUUGAUUUGCCUAUUCCGCCGAUUCCAUAAAUGCCUACCAUGUUGACUCUCUCAUUCGAGUCAAAUCCAAGGAGUGAUGUCACUUCUAAUAUUUGAGACUCCAAGCCAACUGGGUUGGUUGCUACAUGCAAAGGAAUGCGGUUUAUCUUUACAGAGACUUCUUCAACUAUCUUUUCAAUAAACUUAUAUUCUGAUUCAAACCUGCACAAUUCAGAAGUACAUGUAGAUCGAAACCGAGCCAUUUAAUGUGCUUAAGUUUUUCACUUCAAACCAAAAUUAAUCACAUAAAAUUAUUAAUUCUUCACUAUAUUUCCUUCUACUAGAUUUAUAUGUUCACUCGUAAAGAUGUUGUGCAAGAUUGGACAGAUAUGGUAUAAUAGUGGAGAAGAGAUGUGAGAAAUGUUGUCAUGUGUCAUUAGAGAAAGCCUUUUUUUAGAAUGAAUCUGUUAGAACACAAAUCUUGUUCUAAAGAAAACAGAUAAAUAAAGGGCACACAAGAACAUAAUUGAUUGAUUUUCAAUCAAUUGCAUAGACUCGCUGCUAUAUACGAUCACAGGGUACAAUAUAAGUUUAAAUACUACAAUCCAAUUUACAAGUUUAUCUUUGAACCCUAACCAGCAGAUGAAUGGGCAAAGGACAUACGGUCCACUACAGUCGGCAACUGCCCAUUGCCCACUUUAUAAGUAAAUAUGAGUCAUACUCAACAUAAUAGAAUAUAUAUUUCCUUUACCUUCUGUGUUGGAGAACAAAAAAAAAAGGUAACUGAAAAAACAAAAAGAGAUGUAUUAAGGGGUGGUAUAACGUACCCUGGUUUGAAAUGCCAUCCAGAGACAUUUGCAGCUUGACGCAAAGCAUCCCUCCAUUUCUGCACCUUGCUAUCCUUCUCAUCUCCAAACCUCACCUCAUGUUUUGCAAAAGCUUCAGCAUAAGUUCCUGUUAGGUUUCGGAUUUGGGAUGGAUCCACAUCGUAAAAAACCGGCAAAAAUAACCUUCCUUGUAACAUUGAGCACUCAAGGAUGGUAACAAGUUCAGUCAAACAAAACGUUGAAGAUGCAUAGUUAGGGGAGAAAAUAGCAAUGAAAAUUCUAGAUUGUUUAAUGGCUUGAAGAAGAGUAGGUGUGAUUUCUUCUCCUUUUUGAAUUUCUUCAUCAUCCAUAAAAGUUUGUAUACCUCUUUGAUGAUGUAGAGAAUGGUACAGAUUACCAGUGAAGUUGUUUCUAGUAUCAAUGCCUCUAAAGCUGAGAAAGACAUCAUAAGUCCAAUCACAUGUGAAAGAAGAAAUAGAAGGUAGUGUUGAUUGUGACAUGAUAAUCAAUGAUUACUACUAGAGUCUAAACCAAUCAAUUAGGAAUGAAAUGAAGAAUCCUCUUAACAACGGUUGUAAUAAUGGUCAUGUUGCAAACAGAGAUUUUACAAAGCAUAACAAUAAAAUGCAAUUGAUGCGGUCUCAGUCGUAAUUAAGUCAUGAUUGCAAAGAAAUCAAAAACCUUAAUGCAUGUGAACCUUUUUCUAAAAACAUGUUCCUUCUCAUUCAUCCUUGCAAUUUAGGAGCGUAAAUGCGUGUUAGAAUUGACCACCUGCUGUAUAGGUAGUUUUGUGAUUCAUGGAUAUAGAGUUCGGUUCCUUCAAUUUGAAGGACAGUGUGAGGCGAUGCAUAUAUGUUUCUAUUUCAUGUCAAUCACUAGUGAUUGGGGAUUCUCGAAAUCAGUUUAAAUCUUGUGUUAUCUUCAUUUUUAAUGAGGUGCUACAUUAUCCAAUUUUAGCACCAACGAUAUUAAAAAACUUGGAAGAUUGACGAAUUUUAACACCUCUAUCUGCAGUCGCGCAGUCGCAUCUGCAAACAGGGAGGAAUCCUUCCAACAAAGCAUACAGGUAUGACUGAAAUGUCAGAUGGCAAUGCAUAAACAUUCCAACAUAACUACAGAGAAUCAACAAGAACAAAACCAUAAAAAUGUUAUGGUGACUUUGUUAAUUCCCCUAAACAUCUUGGUUUUACACACAUAAGUGAGACCAUAUAUUAUGAAUACAAAUACCAAAAUUGAUUGCUACCUCCAAUAAUGGUGGACAUACAAUAGACAAACUCAGCAGACAAACUUAGGUGCUGUCAGUUAGAUACACUUCGUUAGAUCAUAGAGCAGAUUUAAGAGUUUUUAACAACUUAAAAGUAUCUAAAACAGGAGCAACAAAAAUCACCUGAAAUACAUAAUUUUGGAGAGAGAAAGAGGAGAGAAAAAAUGACAUCCAAAAAUAAAGUUGGCACAGAAAAACUUUCAAGCCUUGGUCUCCUCAGCAGCAGUUUCAAAAGUCUCCCCGGGGACAAGAUCUGGUACAGCAUCAUCAUCAUCAUCAUCAUCCUCUUGUGCUGCGGUUGCAUCAGCUCCUGCUUCUGAAAUUGCUUAGCUAGCUUCUUCAGACUUUCCAAGUUAUCUGGCCCUACGUUUUUUCAAAAAAUAAGAAUUUAAGAUUAUAAAGUAAGAAAAAAUAUAAUACAACUUUGAUAAGAUGUAAAUCACAUACCAAAUUGGUGAAUGAUAUUGUGGAGGAUAUACUGCAACUCUGCAAAAGGUACAAAAGCAUUUGGGUGAAAUGUCAGUAGUCUAGCGUGAAAUCGGUUCAAAAUCAAAUGGAACACUAAUGUCAAGUCUGACACUUGAAAUGAGGGAAACAAUGCCAUGGUAUGGUACACUCCAAAUUGUAAAAAAAGUUUAAACAUUUCAAUAUGAUACACAUCAAACAAUGAAGCCUACAAUUUCUGAACACUGAUGCAGACAAAGUUAUUGAUAACUCAUCCGUGCAUAAUGUUCAAAGUUGUUGACAAUAAAUAAACAGCAUAGGCUAUGUUUGAUAAUGUUCCAUAAGGAUACGAAGAAAAAGAGAUGAAUUGUUACUCUUUGUCUGAGGUGAACCACUAACAACCCAAGUGCUGGUGGCAAUAGAUGCUUGUACUGGAAACAAUUCAAGUCCAGCAGUUAGUUUACUUAAAUCAUAAAAUAUAUAUAUGCACACACACACACACACACACAAAAUAAGUAUCGCGAAUUAAUAUUGUUACCUUUGGGGUUUAAAUACUGAAUAACCACGUCAUCCUUAAAGAUGUUGACUUCCUCAAUUGCAGGGAUACCAUUCUCUUCAGAGUGCUUUGAAGUCUUUUGUCGUCUGUAGUAGCUGUCUUGUGGAUAUUAUUACCAUUAGAUCAAUAAGUCACAUCAAUAUAAGCCCGCAAUUGCCGUUCCCCUAUAGCCAAGGAAGAGUUGUAGAUUUGUAGAUAUUCUUGUAAUAUCUGCUUGUGUGCAACUAUCUCUUUAGUUGGUGGAGGAGAAUCAGGGUUGUCAAAUAAUUUGUAAUCUUCCUCUUCAUUUUCUGGGUAGACAUACAGGAGAGACCACUUCAGAAUCUUCUUAGUGGUCCAUUCUUGGUGAGCCAUGGUCCUUUUAGAAUCACCAGGCAUGAGAUGUUCCAUCUCACAUAAAAUCUCCACAACGUUCCAUUCAUUAUCUGAAAAUACGCCCUCCAUUUUGCAUUGUAGAUCACAACAAAGAAAUUGGUCAGUCUUUUUAUGUGUAUAAAAUAUGUAUUGACAUGAAGAAGUGAGUUGCUUAGUGCCAUUGAUGAGUACGUUCAGCUUGAAAUCCAACACCAUGUUGUUUAGAUGAUUUCCAGGUUUUACAAGACACCAUAGAGCUAUCGUGGGGAAUUUUUUCCGGAACCAAAAACACACUGAUGAUUCACUCCUUUUAAGCUUACCCAGUUCAAGUUUCGAACAAAAUAGGUCAAAUUCAAAAUUCGAGAGAUCAUAACCAUGCUGGCUCCACCAAGGAUGACUUACUUCUAUCACAUCGUUGGAGCUUAUGUUACGAGAAUACACAUUAAGGAAGGACUUCCCAUAUUCAUUAUAAACACACAUGGCAUUUGCGAACACUUUUGGACUCACUUUUUCUUCAUUUUCAGAUGAUCGAAAUCCUCUACAACCAUAAGUUGUGAUUAUCUCAACUUUAGGCAAUAUGUAGCUUGGUAAUUGAAUCAUCCUUUGGCAUCCCCUCAAGUACAAACGUUGGAGACCAACAAGAUUUCCAAUUGUAAAAGGCAACUGGUAUAGGUCAGUCUGAUCCAAAUAAACAUCUUUUAUAUUCUCCAUCAAUCCUAGUACUUCUGGGAAGUUAUCAAGACGCGAGCAACCUCUAAGAUCUAAAGUCUCUAGAGAUGGCAAGUUAAUGUAGGGAACCAAACUUUCUAGUCGGGAGCACCCUUGAGCACUGAAUAACACAAGGCUGCCAAGAAACCCAACUGAAUCAUGGAUUCUAAUUAAAUUAAUGCAGUAAUCAAGACACAAAGCCCCCAAAUAUGGUACUCUAGAUAAGCUAGGUAAUUUAGUUAGGAACUUGCAUCCUUCAAAAUCCAGAAAGCUCAACAUCUCAAACACCUAUAAAAAGUAGAUGCCUCAAAUUGUUAGGAUAGAACUGGAAAUAUAUAUUAUUUAAUGCCAGCAAACAAUGUUCAAGAUUUAUUUUUUCUCUUUAAAAGAAUACAAACCUUAAGUGAUUGGAACCAUUUAAGGUGACUUUCAGGCAGGUUAAGUAUUGCAAGAUUCUUGGGAUUAAACUUAGAUGGUAAGGAGGAUGAUGGAUAUCCACUCCAAUCAAGAACUUUCAAACUAUUUGGAAGAAUUUGAGGACCAUUGGAAAAUUGUGCAUUUCGAACUAUAAGAAUUUUCAAGUUCUUCAUCGGCCCAAAGGCUUUUCCACACCAUUUCACCUUUCUACCUUUGCGCAAGUUGGCGAUUAUGACUUCAACUGUAUCAGUUCCCUUUCAAUUCCAAAUCACAGUUUGAACACAAAUUAAAGGUUUAGAAUCUUUCAUCUAUAUAUUUUGUUGUAUACAAAAAUCUUUAAAUUAUAAUGUCCUUUUCUGCUAGUGGUGAAAAAUUUCAUUAAUCAUUUGUACUUGAGCAUGGAAAACUAACAAUCUUGUAAACAACCUAAUACAUCUUAAAGAAAUGUAUACAUAUAACAAAAGAAAGGGGGGUAUUUUCAGAAAAAAAAACAAAAGAAAGGGGGGUAUUUUAAUUUUCAAACCUUGUUUUCUUCCAAAACCUGAACAAUGUCAUCACUAAACCAUAAUCUACUGCGUCUUCCAGGCUCCAACGUUGAUUCCUGCCUCACGAUUUCUCUGCCCAUGCUUUGAAUCAAGUCAUGCAUUCUCACACAACCAUUGAUGUCAAUUUUCAUGAGAGAUUUGUCAAUUAGCACCUGUAUACCAUCUUCCGCAUGAAAACCAUGCAAGUAUAGUAAUUCUUUGACGUAGCUUAUUUCGUAAGAAUUGAAGAAGCACGCUAUGUCUAGAAAUAUACCCUUCUCAUCUUCUUCCAAAUCAUCAUAGCUAACUUUAAGAAUUUCAUGGAUGUCUUUACGAAGGACUCCUUUAUAUUUAACUAAUGAGGAUUUCCAUACACCUAAACUUUUUCCAAACAAGUGAGAACCUAUCACCUCCAAAGCCAAGGGAAGACCAUGACAAUAAGUUACUAAACGUUUUGCAAUAUCCACAUAACAUGGAUCAAUUUUUUUAUUUUUAAAUGCAUGCCAACUAAAUAAUUCGAGAGCCUUUUCACUUUUUAGUUGUUUAACCUCAUAUACUUUCACAAUUCCAUGAGUGGCUAGCAAAUGCUUGUCCCUUGUAGUGACUAUAACCUUGCUGCCGAAGCCAAACCAACCAUGUCCUACAAAUGCCUGUAACUGCUGCACUUUGUCGACAUUAUCAAGAAUCAAAAGGACUUUCUUUCUUUGAAGCCUCCUUUUAAUUAUUGACAUUCCUCUGUAAACAUCUCCUACUUUAAUAUCCUUCUCCCCCAAUAUAUCAGAAAGUAGUGCUUCUUGGAGCCGUGCAAGAUCAUGAUUAAUUUCCCUCUUUCUUAUGUCAUCGAGAAAACACACACCUUCAAAUUGAUCAGCAAUUAAGUUAUGCACAGCACGAGCAGUUGUUGAUUUGCCUAUUCCGCCGAUUCCAUAAAUGCCUACCAUGCUGACUCUCUCAUUCGAGUCAAGUCCAAGGAGUGAUGUCACUUCUAAUAUUUGAGACUCCAAGCCAAUAGGGUUGGUUGCUACAUGCAAAGGAACGCGGUUUAUCUUUACAGAGACUUCUUCAACUAUCUUUUCAAUAAUCUUAUAUUCUGAUUCAAACCUGCACAAUUCAGAAGUACAUGUAGAUCGAAACCGAGUCAUUUAAUGUGCUUAAAUUUUUCACUUCAAACCAAAAUUAAUCACAUAAAAUUAUUAAUUCUUCACUAUAUUUCCUUCUACUAGAUUUAUAUGUUCACUCGUAAAGAUGUUGUGCAAGAUUGGACAGAUAUGGUAUAAUAGUGGAGAAGAGAUGUGAGAAAUGUUGUCAUGUGUCAUUAGAGAAAGCCUUUUUUUAGAAUGAAUCUGUUAGAACACAAAUCUUGUUCUAAAGAAAACAGAUAAAUAAAGGGCACACAAGAACAUAAUUGAUUGAUUUUCAAUCAAUUGCAUAGACUCGCUGCUAUAUACGAUCACAGGGUACAAUAUAAGUUUAAAUACUACAAUCCAAUUUACAAGUUUAUCUUUGAACCCUAACCAGCAGAUGAAUGGGCAAAGGACAUACGGUCCACUACAGUCGGCAACUGCCCAUUGCCCACUUUAUAAGUAAAUAUGAGUCAUACUCAACAUAAUAGAAUAUAUAUUUCCUUUACCUUCUGUGUUGGAGAACAAAAAAAAAAGGUAACUGAAAAAACAAAAAGAGAUGUAUUAAGGGGUGGUAUAACGUACCCUGGUUUGAAAUGCCAUCCAGAGACAUUUGCAGCUUGACGCAAAGCAUCCCUCCAUUUCUGCACCUUGCUAUCCUUCUCAUCUCCAAACCUCACCUCAUGUUUUGCAAAAGCUUCAGCAUAAGUUCCUGUUAGGUUUCGGAUUUGGGAUGGAUCCACAUCGUAAAAAACCGGCAAAAAUAACCUUCCUUGUAACAUUGAGCACUCAAGGAUGGUAACAAGUUCAGUCAAACAAAACGUUGAAGAUGCAUAGUUAGGGGAGAAAAUAGCAAUGAAAAUUCUAGAUUGUUUAAUGGCUUGAAGAAGAGUAGGUGUGAUUUCUUCUCCUUUUUGAAUUUCUUCAUCAUCCAUAAAAGUUUGUAUACCUCUUUGAUGAUGUAGAGAAUGGUACAGAUUACCAGUGAAGUUGUUUCUAGUAUCAAUGCCUCUAAAGCUGAGAAAGACAUCAUAAGUCCAAUCACAUGUGAAAGAAGAAAUAGAAGGUAGUGUUGAUUGUGACAUGAUAAUCAAUGAUUACUACUAGAGUCUAAACCAAUCAAUUAGGAAUGAAAUGAAGAAUCCUCUUAACAACUUUUUUCUCCUAUGAGUAUCUGUCUAGAUUAGAGAAGAAAGCUCUGCCAUGAACAAGUCAGACAAGCUGCAUAGUUGGCUACAAGUUGACUUGACAAUUUACCCACUAGUCUCCUAUUCUUUCAUUGUAGUCAAAUUCUAAAAGUAUUACCUCAUUCAUUAGAUUACACAUUUAUCAUAGUUGACUAAUAAAUUAAUUUUUUUAUUAGUAAAUACUCCCUCCAUUUCAUAAUGAGUAUUGCUUUAGAGAAGAAAAAAAAAUAUUGUUUCAAAUAAAAAAAACUAUUGAGGGACUAAAAAAUUGUUUCAUAAUGAGUAUCGCUUUACACAUUUAUCUUAGUAAACACUCUCAUUUCUUUGAAUUUUGUUAGAUUAUUUUUUUGCUAGAGUUUUAGAAAUAAAAAAAAAACUAUUGAGGGACUAAAGCGUAGAUUUUAACUUAAGAGGGGAGAGGAAUGUAAUUCAAGCUUCUCUCAAGGGAGGGGAAUGAAAUAUUUUCUAAUAUGUUUUGAAUAAUAGGGGAGGGGAGUGUAAUUCAAGCAUCUUUGAGGGGAGGGGAGUGUAAUUUACUCUUAAUUAUUUCAUUUCAUUCCUUAAUCUAUGUGUCAAAACCUUAAACGACACUCAUUAUGAAACGGAGAGUACGAAAUUAAAUGUUUUUUUUUGUUUUUAUGUAAUAUUAAUGAACUGAUGGCUCAUCAUUUUCAUGGUGGUUUGAAGAGUUAAAAAGUUGAUGAAUAUACUAUAAUUAUAUGGGUUGUGGAGUUUGUUUAUGGCUAGCCAGCCUAAUCCUAAUGGCUCUACAAAUGAAAAAUCCCUGUGUAAUGCUACUCAACCAGAUACGUCUUCUGAUGUUAUUUUUCAUGCAAAGGCAUUGAUAUGGGAGAAUACAUCAGCUAUGUGAAUUAAUCAUAGUUUUAACAACGGUUGUAAUAAUGGUCAUGUUGCAAACAGAGAUUUUACAAAACAUAACAAUAAAAUGCAAUUGAUGCGGUCUCAGUCGUAAUUAAGUCGUGAUUGCAAAGAAAUCAAAAACCUUAAUGCAUGUGAACCUUUUUCUAAAAACAUGUUCCUUCUCAUUCAUCAUUGCAACUUAGGAGCGUAAAUGCGUGUUAGAAUUGACCACCUGCUGUAUAGGUAGUUUUGUGAUUCGUGGAUAUAGGGUUCGGUUCCUUCAAUUUGAAGGACAGUGUGAGGCGAUGCAUAUAUGUUUCUAUUUCAUGUCAAUCACUAGUGAUUAAGGGAUUCUCGAAAGCAGUUUAAAUCUUGUGUUAUCUUCAUUUUUAAUGAGGUGCUACAUUAUCCAAUUUUAGCACCAAUGAUAUUGAAAAACUUGGAAGAUAGACGAAUUUUAACACCUCUAUCUGCAGUCGCGCAGUCGCAUCUGCAAACAGGGAGGAAUCCUUCCAACAACGCAUACAGGUAUGACUGAAAUGUCAGAUGGCAAUGCAUCAACAUUCCAACAUAACCAGAGAAUCAACAAGAACAAAACCAUAAAAAUGUUAUGGUGACUUUGUUAAUUCCCCUAAACAUCUUAGUUUUACACACAUAGGUGAGACCAUAUAUUAUGAAUACAAAUACCAAAAUUGAUUGCUACCUCCAAUAAUGGUGGACAUACAAUAGACAAACUCAGCAGACAAACUUAGGUGCUGUCAGUUAGAUACACUUCGUUAGAUCAUAGAGCAGAUUUAAGAGUUUUUAACAACUUAAAAGUAUCUAAAAGAGGAGCAACAAAAAUAACCUGAAAUACAUAAUUUUGGAGAUAAAAAGAGGAAAAAAUUGACAUCCAAAAAUAAAGAUGGAACAGAAAAACUUUCAAGCCUUGGUCUCCUCAGCAGCGGUUUCAAAAGUCUCCCCGGGGACAAGAUCUGGUACAGCGUCAUCAUCAUCCUCUUGUGCUGCGGUUGCAUCAGCUCCUGCUUCAGGAGCCUGCUUCUGAAAUUGCUCAGCUAGCUUUUUCAGAUUUUCCAAGUUAUCUGGCCCUGCAUUUUCCAGAAAAUAAGAAUAUAAGAUUAUAAAUAAAUUAACACAAAAUAUAAUAUAGAUUUGAUAAGAUGUAAAUCACAUACCUAGUUGGUGAAUGAUGUUGGGGAGAAUAUCCUGCAACUCUGCAAAAGGGAAAAAAUAUAUAAUUGAAAUGUCAGUCUAAUGUGAAAUCAGUGAAAAAUCAAAUGGAACACUAUUGUCAAGUCCUAUAAUCAAAAUGAGGAAAACAAGUCCAUGGUAUGGUACACUCGAAAUUGUAACAAAAAUUUCAACAUUUCAAUAUGAUAAUCAUCAAACAACGGUGCGCAUGAGCCUGCAAUUUCUGAACAUUGAUGCAAACAAAGUUUUUGAUAGCUCAUUCAUACAUGAUGUUCAAAGAUGUUGACAGUGUUCUAUUGUAGGUGUUGAAGUUUCGUGUAACACACUAGUAAAUAAACAGUACAAGCUAUAUUUGAUAAUGUGCAAUGAGGAUGUGACCAAAAGAGAUAUGUAUUCUUACUCUUUGUCUGAGGAGAUCCACUAACAACCCAGGUAUUGGCAGCAAUAGAUGCUUGUACUGCAAACAAAUCAAGUUUAACAGUUAGUUUACUUAGAUCUUAAAAUAAAAUAUAUACAAUAAGUAUCGUGAAUUAAGAAUACCUUUGGGGUUUAGAAACUGAAUAACUACAUCAUCCUUAAAGAUGUUGACUUCCUCAAUGGCAGGGAUACCAUUCACUCCAAUUCUCUUCAGAGUGCUUUGAAGUCUUUUGUCGUCUGUGGUAGCUGUCUUGUGGACAGCCUUCUUCUUUCUAAAAUGGGCAGAAAACCAAACAUUAAUAAUAAGAAACAACUUAACAGAAGCAAUCUGCUUAUCAGAGCAUCAGACAGAAAUAAUACAGGCACCACACUCAAAUAAAAAACAAUUAUAGGAUGAACUGAAAAUUAUAGUUUUGCAAAAUAAAAAUUAGAAUUUAAGAGAUACAUGGAUACCAAAGUGGUAAGGUUUCAGUUGAUUGCAAAGAUAAAGAUAAGGAAUUGUAGUCAAAUCAUUUUAAGAGAUAACAUGAUUGCUAGUAGUACAUUAAUGGAUAGUUAAUAGUAGUAUCAAAUCAUUUUAAGAACAUAACUUCAAUAUGGAAGAAAAUUGUAUUUAGAUAUAAUAUGAUAUAUACCUUCUGACUGUACCCUUUCCACCGGUUCUAACAGAACCGGCCAUCUUCAUCAACUUUUCUACAUUCAUCUGUAUAGAAGUGAAUAAUGAUAAAAUAUAAGUUUCACCUGAGAAAAAAAAAUUACGUACACCUUUGUACAGAUGAAUAAAUGAAUGGUGACAAUACUGAAGUUUAAGACACAUGAGGCAAACAAUGAUAAGAUAUUACUAACGAAAAUUACAGGAACAAAAAUGCACUGAUUUUCCAAAAUUAGUAUAAAAAGGUUCUGUUAGAUAUGUCGAAUACAUAUAUCAUCAGAAUUUGUACAAGUAAACAUUAACUCGUUAGAACAAAGAUAGAAACCACCAAAAAUAUAAAUGAAAUCAAAUAAUUAAUUGAAUUACAUUAAAACACAAAGACAAAAACCUAUCACAUUGACUGAAUCCAAACAUUUUUUACACAAUCAUAUUCGAGUAUAAUUUAUCCUUCUCAUUACUGUAUUAUAAUUGAUAAGUUGAUUACAUACAACCCAUCAAAGAAAGAACUAGGUAUCUCACUGUAAACAUACACUGUAUGAACCUAUGAAGCACGGACACAGCUCGGAUUAGCUGUGUCCCUCUGUCCGAGACAAACACAUGUGAUUACACUUAAAUGUGUGAUUUUUUCAGAUUAUUACCAGUGUCUGUGCUUCAUAGGUAGGAACAUUAAGCUUACACUCUGAAAAUUCAACUCAAUCAUAUAAAAAAAUAUAAAGGGCAAUCUGCUACUAAAAAUAAAUUAUUUCAUCAUGCAUUUACGUGUAGCCCUACAACCAAUCUAAACAAGAUUUAAUAAUACUAGACUACAGGAACAGUAUUUCAUUUCCUAAAAAUAAAAAUUUUAAAUGCCACACUUUAAAAUUUAUAAUUGAAUUAAUUGAGUAAAAAUUCCCCAUUUCCACUUUUUUUUAUUUUAUUUAAUAAAAAAUCCUUUUUUUAUCUCCAAUUAUUUCACCUAUAAAACUAUAUAGUAAAUAAAUACAUAAUAAUCUAAAUCUAUAAUCUAAAUCUAGAUGAUACUAAUCAUAAUAAUAUCACUAACCGAAGCUGGUAAACAAAAUGUAAUCAUUUCAAAAAUUCAAAAAAAAUUAAAUUUAAAUUAAAUCAACAAAAGGAAAAGUGAAAUAUCGAAAAUGAAAUUGAAAUCAAGAAAUCGAAAAUGGAGAUAAAAAAAAAUAAAAAAAAAAUCGAAACUAGGGUUCAACCAAGAUUUGUAUGAAUCAAACACUGAAUAAGAAAAACGAAACAGAGAUUUGAAAUUAGCGAAAUGAAUGAAUGAAUGAAUAAAAACGGUACCUUUGAUUAGGGUUAGGUUGAGAACCUAGGAACAGAUUGCGAAGUGAAGAAGAGCUAAACGGUGGAAAGAGAUAAGGAGUGGCUUUUAUACUUACGAAGAAGACUGUGUUAAAAACCCUAUCAAUUUUUUUUUUGUUUUUUGUUAUACAUGUUUGGGUUUAGUGUUAUGACCCGUUUAAUUUUAGCCCAAAUACUUAUAAGCUUAGGGAUGUGUUAAUUACACCUCCUCUUUUUUUAUACAAUUGCAUCUCUUGUUACUUUUAGGAAUAAAUUAUAAAUUUCAGGGUUAAAUUCAUUUUUACCCCUUGUGGUUUGAGAAUAUCAUUUGGCGAAUUUAAGUGUUAAUUGUUCAAUCGUGUUGUGCUCGUGAUAUUUUUUGGUUUAUGACUAGAAUGGUUUAGCGGUACAAGAUGUAAUCAAUUGAUAUCUUAUCAUGACCAUUCGUAAAGAAAUGAGAAAAUUGAUAUUGUUUAUAUGUUGUGGUUACUCAUUAUUUUGUCAUGAAGAAUAUUAUACAAAAGUCUAAACUUUUAAAAUAAUAGUAACAUGGUUAGUAGAGUUCUCCAAAUUUAAGUCAAUUUCGAGCCAAUAUAAGCAAUCAAACUUGAAGUCCUUGUGGACUUCGUGGCUAAGAUACACAUCUAUCUAGCAGAUAUAAUGAAUCAUCCAAAAACAUCGGGAGCAAAGAAUGAUUCAUUUUGGAAGAACUUGGAGGCCUAUAUAUAUAUAUAUAUAUAUAUAUAAAAUCCUGGUUUAAUUUCAAAACAAAAAAUCAAAUAUUAUACAAAUUUGUGACACUAGUACCAUAAUCAGAGACAGAAAUGCGGAUUUACAUAUCUAAGUCAACAACAAUUCUAAAAAAAACAAUUCUCAACUCAUCGUUAAUCAAAUCGAAUACGAGUAUCAUUGAAAGGAAAACUCUUAGACUUCUACCUCACUUCUAAACUGCAAGUUUAUGGGGCUAGAUGAACCACAUGAGUAUGACAUCCCAUCUCAUGUAAUUUUAUAUCAAAACAAUUUUCUAUGAAGAAGCUCGAAGACAUCAACAUCAUUUAGGUUCCUUGGUUGAAAGCGUAAUAUCGGAUAAACUCUCAAAACUAAAAAAUAUGAAAGUAUCAAGCCACCACAAAUUCAUAGCAUUCUAGAUUUUACAUGCCUCUAGUGUCGAUGUGGGUAAAGGAAUUCAAAGAUUAUCUAAUAAACAAUAUACUUCCUAACAACGUGGAAACGACUCGGAAACUCAAGUGAGAUGUAACACACUACACCUUCAUUGCUAAUAAAUUAUACAUGAAAAUGAUUCUUCAAACCUUCGUUGUUUUGCCUUGAAGAACAAGUAGCAUAAUACAUAAUUCGGGAAAUACAACAAGAAAUAUGUGGUAAUCAUUGGUAAGGAAAAAAAAAAGAUCUUACCUUAUGAGGUCCUUCAAUAUGGGUAAUAUUGGCACAUUACACUCACAUUGCAACGAUGUUGUCUAUGAAUAUGAUAAAUGUGAAAUAUUUGCUAAUCAGUCACGCCAGCCAUAUUGAGGCACUUCAACCCUAUUGUUAAAUCACAACCCUUCAACACAUAGGGGCUCGAUAUCCUUGUGCCCUUUCCAUUAUUGCUGGGUUAGCUAAAAUUUAUUGUUGUUUAACAUAUAUUAUUUCUCCAAAAGGAUAGAAGUUGUGCCUCUAUCCAUCAUCCUAGCCAAAAAGGAUGCGGAAGUUCAUAUGGAAAAAUGUCAUUCGUCGACACAGACUCCCUCAUACCAUCACAGUGAAGCAAAAAAAUUCAUGAUUUUUUGCAAUGAUCUCGAGAUCAAAUUGAAGUUUUCCUUAGUUAAACAAUCCCAAACGAACAGGUGGGUGGAAUCGGCGAGAAAGUAAUCUUUAACAGGUUACGAAAGUGACUUGAUCAAGAGAAAGGAAAAUGGGUUGAAGAAUUGACAUCAUUCCUACAUAAGAAUCACCAUCCAAGCUUGUUUACAAAUAAGAUGUGAUAGUAUUUGUGGAAUUAACAACAAUGUCAUUCGGAGUUGGCCUGUCUGAAGAGUCCAUUUUAGAAAAAAGCCAAUGUGUAUAAACCUUGAUUUGCCCGACUAAGUCAAUGAGCUAGCACACAUAAUUGAACAUACUGUCAAACUUAGGUUUGUGAACAAGUUCAACACAAAGGUUAAACCUCAAAGUUUUAGGGAAGAAAACUUGACCUUAUGAUUAAUGAUGUGAGGAAAGAUCAACAUCAUCGAAAAUUAGCAAAAAGCUAGGCGUCGAGGAGUUCGGGGGCAUAAGAGAAACAAUAAACCAAUGCACCAUAACCACAAGAGAAAACGUCUUAUCUUCAUCUAAACUUUAAGACAUUAAGUAUAUGUGUCUCCUCUCUUAUAUAUGUAACAAUUUUUUUUUGGUACAAUAUAUAUCUAACAUUUUAUUCAUUCAUUAACGUUAUGAAAUUUAACUACUUACAUUUGAAACCCAACAAUCUUUGCUUAAAGUGUGAAUUCUCUCCUCCUAUUCUUGAUCUAAACAUUUAAGAUCAACUCAUCGCCACCGUACAAAGAAACUUAUCAACUAUAAAAACAUAGUUUUUUUUACGGAACUAAAAAACAUAGUUGAAAACAUUUAUUCAUGUAAUGUUACGUCUUGUUUCAAUUGACAUCUCUUUUCCAUUUUAUAACUAAUGGAGUCUUUAUACAACAUGUCAUGCUUUUUAUGACAAAUAUAUCCUUAACCAUGAAUCUUAUAUCACUUUAAUUUAAUAUCCCUAACACAUUAAAUAUCACAUGUGUGAUCCAAAAUUCAUAACAACCUCUUCACGUAAUAUCACAUGCUUUUUAGAAAGAUUAUCCGAAAUCCCACAAAAUAAAGUAAAAAAGAAAGAAUAUCGGAUUGAGCUUUAAGAAAAAAGAAACAAAAUAAACCAAACUUCAUACAAGAUAACUUUGAAGAGAACAAGAGGACAUUCUAUAAAUAAGUUACCAUUCUUCCAAACUUUAACAAUCCUCUCACAAGUAAGUUUCAUUUGAUUUCUAUCUACCCAUGCUUAACAUUUUAUUUCAAAAGUAAUAUAUUAACAAAAGAUAUUUAUUUUUUCUUUUUUUGUUGCUUUUUUACCAAGCAAAGAAAAAAGUCACUUUUUAAAAAACUCUCUUUUAGAAAUGCUAACUCAUCUUACAAAUGUCAAAAUUGCAAAGUCGAACAUCGUGACCUGAGUUCAAAUUCAAAACUUCACUAAGGUUAAUUUUAAUGACUUAGAGCAUUCACAAUGGUAGUUCCCUAACAAGAACUCUUUAAAUGGACCCACGUGACACAUCACUUAUUUAUAAUUUUUUAAUAAAAGUAUUUAUUAAGGACUCAAUGACUUCAAUGACAAUACACUAAUAAGGACUCCAAUGAAAAGAUAUGUCCCACUAUCUUUACAUCAUUAAAUAAAAAUAAUUUAUAUACUCAUUUUUACAAGUGGAACCAAAUAUAACAUAUUUUAUUAUUCUUUUAUGCAAGUUAGAUCAAAUAGUACACAUUUUAUUAUUUUUCUAAACGUAGAACCCGUUAGUUACUUAGAAGAAAGAGGGUCAUUAUAUAGUUGUCCGUUCUAUAACGGGGACUCAUUUUUUCUUCCUCUAAAAGUGAUCCUUGUUAAGCAUGGACCCUUGUUGAAGAUGCUCUUACCAUCUUACAUAGGACAAAAAAAAAAUGUUAUAAAAUGAAACAUUAUGAGCCACCAACAACACUAUCAUGAACAAACUGUUUGUAGAACAAGAGAGAGAAAGAAAGUACACACAGCUGAGCUAUGUCAACUGCCAUCAAUGCUUCCACUUCUGCUCCAGCACAAAGGUACAUUAAUAACUAUAGAAUAUAUUCAGUUCACAACAUUACUUUGUUUUUCAGUUUUAUUCUGAGUUUUGAAUCUACUUCAUACAUGCAAAUUAUUAUCAAGACUUUCUUAGUUAUAGUUUGAGCUUCUGUUUUUAUUUAUUUAUUUAUUUUCUUAAGAAAAUAUGUUAUCAGAUUUUUUGUCAGCUUUUGACAUGAUAACUGUGGGUUGACUAAGUUUGUCUGUUUAAUUAUUAGAGAUUUUAACAAAUAAAAGACACAAAAAGAGAUCUGCUGAGGUAUUUGAAUUCUUCAUGUUGUUGACUUUAUGGUUAUAUUUUUACAAAUUGAAUUGAUCUUGUUUGAAUUUGAACCUCUUUUUUUCUUAACAGCAAUAUAUAAAACAAAUAUUGUUUGAACUUAUUUGACUUAUUUUUCUUAACAGCAAUAUAUAAAACAAAUAUUGUUUUAAGAAAUUGUUCUGAUAUUCAUUCUUCUUUCAAUACUAGUUUAGUCUUAGAUCUAAAUUAAUGUUUGUCCUCGUGAGCUUAACUCAGUUGGUAGAAAACAAUGUAUAAGAUAUGCAAAGUCCGGAAUUCAAACCCUGAUCACCACAAAAAAAAAAAAAAAAGUCUAAAAUAAUGUUUACUGGGUUCAAUUCGUUUUUGUUUUAUGAUUGUUUUCAUUUAGAGUAUGUUUGGGUGGAAGGUUUAGAAGGACUAUGUCUGUAUUUUGGUAUAUAUUUUAGAUUAUAAAAAAUUGAAAGAAUAAUAUUUUUUUUUUUGUGGUGGCCGGAAUUCAACCUUAGCCUUGUGUUCUUGGCUCUCUCAUUUUUCCCCAAAUUAUGUGAUUCUUAUGAAUUUCAGAUUUACCAUUUCUGAGCCAAAAUUCGAAUUCCUUCAUAAUGAGUUUGGUUAUAUAAUUUGAGGAUUUCUGCUGAUUUCUCAACCAUGUUUGUUUUGGCACUACAAAUUUACAGUACUUGUUAAGAAUCUUAGUUUGUUGCCCUGCUGUGCUGGUUUAAUAAGAAUUGAAGAUAAUAAAAUCGAACGUAAGAGAGAGCAAAAGUAAAUAGAUAUUGACAAAUUAUGUUUAACUUUCAUAAUAAGACAGCAAAGAAUCAAUGAGGUUAUAUCUUUGUAUUCUUCAACCGAGAAGUAGGGCCGAUCCAACAUAUUUGUAGGCCUAAAGCGAACCAUAGUUUAAAUCCGGUGAAGGACUUUUGCGGUGCUAUUUUUAUAUUUUCACUAGUCUUCUUGUAUUUAGAUGAGCUUGGCAUGAAAAAUAUUAUGAUAUGCUACCAGUCAUCCUUAAGAUCUUGAUGUUUUGAUCAUAAUAAAAUUAGACAAUUGCUAAUAUAGGUAGGUGCUGAAUUUGAUGAUCAUGCACCAACAUAUAAAAUUAUCAAGCUUGUAUGAUGUAUUGUUUGAAUGAUCAAUGACAUUUGAAAGCAAAGACUAAGAAUGAUUAAUCAGUCAUAUUAUUUUCGUAUAUGCUAAGUUUAUUUGUACAAGAAAUUGAAGCUAGUUAGAUAAAAUCGGUUGUACAUUUUAUUGCUUGCCCUGUAAUUUUGAAAAGCUAAUAUUUGGUUAUUAAGUUAUGUAUUGCUUAGAUAUGGUUUUGAAUUUUAUAUCUAAUUCGCUACUAAUAUCCGAGUUUUCUUCAACCUUCAAAUCCUCCACCGGUCUCAAAGUUCAAAAUGGAUAAUUUAAUGAAGGUUGAAUCGAUCGGGAGUAUUUAAGUUUAGACUCUGACUAGAACAAUCCUUAGCUAGAAUUUACUUACUUUUGACCAAAUUCAUGAUUAACAGGGUCCCUUUCCCAUGGGAACCGGAGGGUUAAGACAAAAGAUUAUGGGAAAACACUGUCUUUUACAAGUGAAAAAGAUCUAGAAAUAUUUAGCUGUUUUCUUUCCAUAUCACUGAUUUCUGAAUUAUGGAUUCUGGUUUUGGUCAUGUUUAUCUGUCACACAAUGACACAUUCUAUAAUAAUAAUGUUUUCUUUAAGUUUUCAAUUAUUGUUAACCACUCUCAAUAUUUCAAUCAUUUGAGCUAAAGUUCUCUGCUUUAUAUCUCCCUCAGAUUAUUAGGUAAAGUCGCUGUGGUAACUGGUGGAGCCUCCGGAAUUGGAGAAAGCAUCGUUCGCCUAUUCCACACCCACGGUGCUAAAGUAUGUAUAGCCGACAUCCAAGACGACCUUGGACAGAAGCUCUUUGAUUCCUUAAGUGAUCUAGAAAAUGUUUUUUUCGUCCAUUGUGAUGUCGCUGUAGAGGCUGAUGUCUCCACUGCAGUAUCCAUCGCUGUCGCUAAAUUCGGCACUCUAGACAUCAUGGUCAACAAUGCGGGAAUUUCCGGAGCACCUUGUCCUGAUAUCCGCAACGUGGACAUGGCAGAGUUCGACAAAGUAUUUAACAUAAAUGUAAAGGGAGUUUUCCAUGGAAUGAAACAUGCUGCUCAAUAUCUGAUCCCAAAGAAAAGUGGCUCAAUAAUUUCUAUAUCAAGUGUAGCAAGUUCCUUAGGAGGGUUAGGACCGCAUGGAUACACAGGUUCCAAGCAUGCUGUGUGGGGAUUAACAAAGAAUGUUGCAGCUGAAUUGGGGAACCACGGAAUAAGAGUGAACUGUGUGUCACCUUAUUGUGUCGCAACAGGUUUGGCUUUGGCUCAUUUGCCUGAAGACGAAAGAACCGAGGAUGCCAUGGCUGGUUUUCGUUCUUUUGUCGGGAAAAACGCAAACUUGCAGGGCGUAGAGUUAACUGCUGACGAUGUGGCUAAUGCCGUGCUCUUCCUUGCAAGUGAUGAUGCAAAGUAUAUAAGUGGAGAGAAUCUGAUGGUUGAUGGAGGAUUUACUAGAACUAAUCACUCACUCAAAGUUUUUAGAUGAUGAUUAUUUGUUUUUAACUGCUUGUUAAUUUACUUAAGCAGGGUUUAGAACAUUGGAAACACAGAAUGUCUAAUGAUAGAUUUUCAAAUAACAAAACCACUAUAGCUUGUCUAUGAAGUGAUUAAGUAAUAAUGUGAAUUUUUCUCUGAAUUGAUUAAAAAAGUAUCUACCCUUGAGGAAAUUUGUCUCUAUCAGCUUAGGCAAUUGCAAAUUUACAUCAUAUUAUGAUUUAAAAUAAAAAUACAUCAUAUUGUCCAACCUUGUGAUUAACCAUGGAAAGGAGCACACAUUCCAACUUUAUUGUCACCAUAUUCUCUCUUAGUUACUGCAAGUAAUUUGUUUAUGACUUGGAAAUGAGUAAGUAAAAAGAAAUAACUAGAGCCAUUAUGAUAUAUUACACUUUUCAACAAUGUUAACACAAGCAACUGACAUGUCAAAAUUAUUCUCAGAAUCAGGUUGCAAAGGUGAAGGUAAAAAACUAUUUACAGUAGCAAGUUUAAACUUGUUUUGCAUUUUGGAAAUACAAACAAGAAAAACACACAUUGUCUAAAGCUUGGAAUUAAAUGUUUGGUAAGAUAUGCUAUUAUCAAUUCUAAAUUCUAUGCAGCACACAACUAUUCAAAAUUCUAAUUAUCAUGAAUAACCAAUCUCAGAACUCAUACAAAAUUUAUUCUUGACCCAAAGUGCAUAAUAAACUUAAAAUUGCAAAACCAUUUUGUAAUUUUACCAAGCUUUACAAAGUUCACAAAAUGUUUAACUAAAUCAUAUAUUCUUCUCUUCACUUUACUUUAAAGAAGUGCAAACAUAGUUUUCCCUCAGUAACUAAAACACCAUAUAAAUUUCACUCCAAUAACAUGUCUUGCAUUUAUAGUUUUGUUUGGCAUAUUUUUGCUCUAAAAUAUAACAGGUACAAUCUUCAGGAUAACACUAGGACAUGUCACAUAGACAGAGGCCAAGUUUGAAAACUUGGGGGAAACUAAACAUCAACUUAGGUAGCUUGUAAAGGUGAAAUGUGAGUUACAUCAUGUAAACAAAGCAAAAGACCAUUUCAUUUACUCAAAAAGAAAAUUACACACCCAAACAAAUUGAUAGUGAAUGGCUAUACUGUCUUGUAAUUGGUUUGGGGACACUAGGGAACAGUUUUGGCCGUGUACGGUACAAUUUUGCUGCCAGAAAACAAAUACAAUAUUACAAUGCUAAAGGUUUCCCAGAUACACAAAAGAAAAACAACUGAAGACAGCUAGAUUUUACACAGUGAAGUGAAUGAAGUAUAGAAUCAACAAUCUGGAUUCUCUAUUGCGGUAUCAUCAACGGAAGCGAGCAUUAGCUGUGGUUGAAAAGCUCUUCUUUCUUUAGCAGCCUUUUUGCGUUCACGCCUCAUCUUGAAGUACUUUAUCUUCCUUAAUCUAUAGCUAUCGGGGUUCGGAACCCGUUCUUCUUGUGGGUAAACACUGAUCUGUAAUAUUUUUACAACUUUAUUAGCUAGUUAAUUUGUACUGUAGGAUUACAGGUCAUAUACAGAAAGCAGUGAAAGACUAUUUUUUACCUUUUUCUUGUCUGGUCCAUAUUUCUCAAAUUUUACAACUCCAUCAAUUAGGGAGAAAAUGGUAUGGUCCUUACCAAUCCCUACAUUCUUUCCUGCGUGAAACUUCAAGUUUUGCAAAGAAAAAAAUAUUAGAACUUAGAGAAACAGUAAGUUUCAUGAUAGGACAUUCACAUUACAACAUCAUUAGAUGCAUUUAGCCAAGUCUAUCGGAAAAAAAAAAUACUUUGGUUGUUAUUGUCAGAAAAACAGCAAGGCAAUAAAGAUUCAACAAUAUCUUAAAAACUGCUACAACAAAUGCACCUAUUUACUAUAUUGUGUGUGCCUGUAACAACCUUAUCAUGAUUUACUAUAUUCUGUGUGCCUAUAACCACAAAUACAAACUCAAUGUGAAGGUUUUUCAACUCUCAGCAACCGCAUCGCAACAGCAAAAAGUAGCUACAUUGACCGUGUUUUUUCAUGUUUUUUUCCAUAAUAUCCAGGAUCACCACUAACCGUGAUUGCGAUUUAAAAAAUUGACCACAUUAUUUCCAUAAUAGCAUUUAUUACAAUCAGUAUAGAACAAACAUGAGAAGUUCUUUCAGUCAGUAUAAAGUGUGCAAUAAAAGUUGUGGAAUCGCUUACAACUUUACCAUACUGAUAAAAAACAAUCGUAUCAAUGGUGAUAUUGUCAAUUACACAAUGCAACUCAAUUAUUCAAAAGACCUUAAUCAUUCUUAGUUCCCUUCAUAUGGAAUUCUAGGCUCUAGCAUAUAAAUUGCAAAAGUAGACAUGUUUUACCUGUUCUGAUUGACCUAAACAUCUAAGGAAACACUUAUUAAAAAGAGACAAUAUCUAAGAAUUUUUAAAAUAACAAGUUCUUAUAGAAGAUGAAUUCUGUCAUUUAACUUGACUUAAAAAACCCAUAACAAAGAAAAAGGGUUUUUCAGUGACUAACCACAACAAAAAAAAACCCAUAACUAGAGAGAACAAUAAAAACUCACUAUUUUUGCAACUCUCACUCUUAUAAUUGCAUCUUGAAAUUAAUGAUAUAAAUCGGCAAAAUAGUAUAAUUGCCAACUCACUCUCUUUGGAUGUCCGUCCAAAUGUCAGCGUAGGACUUAAAAAACGAGUGGUGUCAAAGCGUACUUACGAGUAAGCUAUGAAGAACGAACUCUGACACUGACACCUCACGGACACAUUGACAAUGCUAAUUUUAAAAAUAUAGGACAAACACUGAUACAUACAUAUUUAUUUAUUUAUAAUUAUUAAAUAAGAUAUGAGCAUUAUUUAUUAAAGAUCUAAAUCGAGAACUAAAAUAUAUAUGUACGUCUAAAUUGAGCCAUUUGGUACAAAGUUAUUAAACAAAAUAUAACAAAUUUUCACCUCAUCCAUCCAUUCAUCUACUAUACAGAAAAGUUAAAAAAAAAAUGAUAUCUUCAACCCCUUCAUUUAUCAUCACUACUUCAACACAAUUUUAAGCCUCAUAGAAGUUUACGAGGAGUGUCGAAGGAGUGUAAAAGUGUGUUGAAGCAAAUAAUUUUUUUGGGGGACACAUGUCGUGUGUCGGACACAGAGACCUUAAUGACAGAGGUGUCUGUGCUUCAUAGUCUCAUAUAUCAGACUCAAAUGAUUAAUUAAAACAAAAAUGUGACAUUUCGUAAUUGAUAAUUUGGAUAUCAAAGCAGAGCAAGGCAGUGUCUGGUUUUUUUUUUUUUUUUUUUGGUAGAUAGACGAAAUGGCAAAGCCAUUAUAAACUCACACACACAAGUGGAGGUACCGGGGUUCGAACCCCGGUCAUGGUAUCAGCCUAACAAUUUCGGCAUUUGUCAGAUGAGCUAGGACUUCUGGAUGGCAGUGUCUGGUUUUAAACAUGCCAAUUACACCAAUCUAUAAUCCUUUCUUUAAUUCUUUCUAUAAGCUCUAAUUGAACACAAACUACACCAAUUUCAUUUUUUUCAAUUCACCCAAAAUAUAAUUCUUAACGACAAUUAACAUGUUCAUAAUUUCAUAAAUUCAUAUGACACGUCAUUUUUUUUUUGUCUAAAAUUUGAAAAUGGAAUAGAGAAACUGAUUAUGAACACACCUUGGUUCCACGCUGACGAACAAUGAUGGAACCAGGUUUAGCGACCUGGUCACCAUAAACCUUAACACCGAGACGCUUUCCGGCCGAGUCACGGCCAUUCUUGGUACUUCCUGCUCCCUUCUUAUGAGCAUUCCGGAUAAUCAGUGCUGACCGAUGAUGAAUUCGAGGGAGAGAUACUGAUGGAGUCAUACGAAGAGUGGUGGAACCUGAUAAAAAGGAAGAUGAAGAUGAAGAAGAGGGAGAAGAGAGAGAAAGUGAUUUGAAUGCUGUUGCUAUGUUGAAACCCAUGCAUACAGCCAUGGUGGAAACUGCUGGGUUGUCUGAAGAAGUGAGAGAUAAGACUCAAGAAGGGAUGAAUGAAAUGAAAAUGAAGGUGGAUAAGGGGAAAUUUGGAAUUUAAUUGAUUUUUUUUAAUAUUUUUGUAUAUUAAUUUUUUUUUCUGCCAUUCAAAAAAAAACAUUAUUAUUUUUUUUCUGCAGCACAUUGAUAACACAUCACAUCUUCUAUAGAUACAUUUGAGAAUGUUUAAAAUGAACGAUACAUAUGACAUCUCAAGAUCAAAUUUAAAAGAAAAUUUACAUGUGGCAAUGUAAGGUUGAAUUAUAAAAGUCAUAGUUCAAUUACACAAUUUAAGACAAUUUUUUUUAAUGACACCAUUUAUAACAUACUAAAGUAACAAAGUAUAAUCAACACAUAAGAAUCAACCACUGUCCACCAACGAUGCAAGAAGCAACCACGAUGGAUAAAAUAUUUUAGGUAUGAUGAACGAUACUACCGUCAACACAGAGCAUCUACGCACCUAGCCCUUUCGAGGAACCUUAAGAUAAAACCAGUCAUGUUGAAUCGAGAUAUGCAUCCAUCAAAGAAGCCAGAACUAAAGAACCCAUAUCUUCAAUCCAAAAAACCAGAUUCGAGAUUUUUAGACAAAAUCACAGAGCCGAAACAAAGUCACCACCCAUCUUCAUUUCCACGAAACAAAACGAAAACAAACGCCAAUAAACAAAAAUGAAAAAAAAAUAGCCAAAAACAGACUGAGACUAACUCAUAAUCGCGUCAACACCAUAGCUCUACAAGACGUCGACGAUGUUGAACGAAACCAGUGACCACAAUAGAAUCAACACACACCAAGACUCUAAAAGGACAGCCGCUGCGGCGCUUCAUCGACGACAAACUAAAACCCAUAAAUAUAUUUUUCAUUUAUACACAAAAACACGGGAUAUAUAUUUACCACUGAUAAACAUAAAAACAUGUGACACAUAUUUGUCAUCAUUGUGGCUAAAAAAAUAUUAACAUAUUAUUUUUAACAAAACAAUAUUGACAUAUUUCAAAAUUCACGGUGCAUAGAUGCUUUUCAUCAAUAAAAAAAUAAAAAAAUUGAGAUUGAAAAAUAAUAGUUUAUCACUCGUGCAUUGCACAGGUUAACACACUAGUUAUACACACACACCAUUGAGUUUGUUUUUUUGUUGAUAAAAUGCACACGAUUGAGUUGGAAUUCCAGAUUUCACACUCAUUUACAUUUUUUUUGUGGUGGCGAACCCAAACCUUAUAUAUAUUAUGCAUUGUCUAUAUCAAUUGAGCUAAGCUCAUGACAACAUUAAAUGUGAAUUUAUAAUAACUAGAUUAUUUGAUAAAAAAUAAUUGAUUUUUAUUUUAAUUUUGCAAAAAUUAAUUGAAUAUGGGCUGUAAGAAUACACUUGGUCUAGUAUUUUGAGUAAAGAAAUUAUUGUGAUUAUCACUAAAUUUAACAUUCUAUUUCUUAAAAAUGACAUCCAUCGUUUAUUUUCAUAAAUGGAGAGGAUCCUUACUCAUUUAUUGAUGAGCUUGUAUUUAACCCGUUGGUUGACCAAAUUAAAACUAGAUUGUUAGGGUGGACGAAUAAAAACUUGUCUUUUCGAGGACGUAUCAUUCUAAUGAAACCUAUCAUGCCUUCUCUUCCGAUCUAUUUUUCUUCGUUCUUCAAGGCUCUCACAUGUAUAAUGACCUCUAUACAUUCUAUUUUAAAAUGUUUUUUUCUCUUCGGAGGGGGCAGAUUCUAGAAAGAUUCCAUGGGUCAGUUGGGAGUCUGUUUGUUUAGGUAAAAAAAAAAUGGUGGCUUGGGGAUUAGGAGGAUGAAGGAAUUCAAUUUAACAUUGUUAGAUAAAUGGUGUUGGAGGAUGCAUGUAGAUAGCGGAGGGUUGUGGUACGAAGUCCUAGCAACCCGUUAUGGUGAAUUUUUGGGGGUAACUUUUGGAGGGGGGAGGGAUAGUUCUGUGUGGUGGAGGGAUCUACGAAAGAUUUGUGAAGGGAUUAAGAUG